UUCAGGAGGAAGGCUUUCUUGCAUUGGUACACAGGUGAGGGCAUGGACGAGAUGGAAUUCACAGAGGCAGAGAGCAACAUGAACGAUCUUGUUUCCGAGUACCAGCAAUACCAAGACGCAACCGCAGAUGAAGAAGGCGAGUACGAGGAUGAGGAAGAAGGAGAAUACCAACAGGAGGAGUAUUGAGAGAGAGUAAGUGUACACCACCUUAAAAAAUCAAUUUAGUCUUUUGCUUUUCUUUCUUUUUUAAAACAAAGAAACCUCAACUACCAGUUGCAGGUUUUUUUUAUGCUUGUAUUAACAACUCUGGAUCUUGUUGACUUAUGGUGUGGUUUGUGUACUUUUGAUCUUAAAAUUCGGUUCGUUCUUCGUAUAUCCCCUGUUUAAUUUGAAUCUUGACGUCUGGUUUUGUUUGUUUUUAUUUUUGUUGUUUUGAAUUUUGAAGAUAUAUAAGGCAAAAUAUUAUGAUUCAAAAACCCGAGAAUUAAAACAAUAGAAAGGAGAGUUCCCAAAUUUCUAUUAAGGUAAAUAACGUUUUGUGAGUCCGAUUCAAGGAAAACAGUAUUAGGGGUUUACUAUUUUAGGGUUUUUUAAGAGACUCAAAGCUUAUGUACGAUACAAGCACCGAUCUAACCGAUGACGCCGGUCUACACUCUAACGACUGCCUGUGAAGUCUCAAUUGAGAUUUUGAUGCGUCUCCAAGCUUAAGUCCUUGAUUAUCACCAGCAGAGAAUUCAGGAAUCGGCACUUGAAUACUGCUUCUUCCUCAGCUUCUCCUCGUCCCGUCUCCUCAUUGUUUUUGAGGACUUUUACAGAGAAAAGCUUCCGGUAGAUUUGUCGCCUCUUCCUCCUCUUCUUCUUACAGAGAUCUUAGCCUAGUCAAAAUUGAUGGGAGAAAGGUGUAUAAUCCGUGUCUUUAGUGAUCACUUCUCUAUCACCUAGACAAAUCUCACUUUUCAGUAAUUGCUCCAGUGCACAUUCUUCAAUCAUGUAGUGGGUUAAACGAUUUCGAAAUGGGUCAAAGAUUCUACCACUUGUACUAUAAUGCUAUAAAGGACACCUGCAUUGCAAGCACAUCCCUUGUCAUCUCGGAUAAAAUUGAAAACUUGCAGCGGUUCAAUUUCCACCAUCCCAAAACAUAACAUCAUAAUCUGUACCGAAUAUAUUUUUUUUUGGAGUUUCACAUUUCUCCUUUAAACAUAUAUCCAAUUUCGUACCUGAAUCUUCAGUUCCUAACUCAUCUACCAUUUUUUGUACACAAAAUCCAUUUUUCAUAUCCAAUCUCAAAAUCUAAAUCUAUUUUUGUCAAAGACAUUACCUGUAGCAUGAUCUUGAAUCGAAUUACCACUCCGAGACUCAGUACCUGUGAAUUUAGAUGAUGUCUCACCUCUAGAUAGCUUGCUGCUAUACUCCUCAAACAACUUCUUCAUAACCGUAGUCACAUAAUCAGACAACUCCCUUGAUUCAGGACUAUCUUUUUCAUAAAUCCCGUCAAAAUAAAGUGUAGCAAACCUUAUUUUGUUUCUCGGAUCUAAGAUACUCGCAAUGAUUAGAAGCUUAUUGAUCUCUGAUCAUCCUAGUACUUAUCAAAUUUCUCUCUCAUUGCAUCAGCCUUUGUCCUCAUUGUUGGAUCCUGAUCAGUCUUAGCUUUAUCAAGUUGGUUUCGAUAGUCACAAUCUCAUUGUAACACUUGUCAGAAUUCAGUGAAGUAGAUGCUGAAACAGCUAAAGUAGAGUUGUAAAAGAUAAUCAGAAACCUUACUCAUCUUGCAACCGAAUCCCAAUCAUCCUUUGUUACUGGUCCAACUCUCUUAUUUCCUUCUACUUGUUCUUGAAAGUAAGCAUUGUAGAGCAUGUAUUCUGCUUGCAUUCUAUCAAAACCUGUCCUUAACUUCAGAGCUCUUAUCAGCAUAAGGUAAGUUGAAUUCCACCGUGUUUUACAUUCUAAGGGUAAACUGCCUCUUGACAUUUUGCUGAUUCCACUCUUAGAUCGAAUGUCUUUAUUCUGUUAGUAGAAGCUCUCACAUACUGAACACCAUUACAGAUCGCAGAUACACUUUUGCCAACUUCAUGUAACCCAUCAUUCACUAUCAAGUUAAUGAUAUGAGUAACAGAAAGUAAAUGCAUGUGGUCACCUCCUAAAACCAAUGCGUGAUCACCUGUUCUGCUGAAAGCCUCCUUAAACUUCCUCGGUGCACUGGUGUUGGCAGUGGCGUUGUCAACAGUGAUUGUGAAGACCUUCUCUAUCCCCCAAUCAGCCAAUCACUCUAGCAAAACUCUGCGAAUUGUAUUUCCCUUGUGAUCGUCGAUGUUCUUAAAUCCUAUGAUCAGCUUCCUUAUAAUUAGCUGCCACUUUACAUCAAUGAAGUGAGCCGUGAUGACCAUAUAGCUAGCUCUGGUUGUGGGAGCAACCCAAAUAUCAGUUUUCAAAGACACCAUUUGCUUGUUUGCACCAAGCACCUUUCUCAUAGCAGAUUCCUUCUUAAUAUACAUCCCCACAAAUGUGACUGUUCUCCUUGACUUUGAAUUUGGAAGAUUCACACAAUUGCAGAAAUGUCUCCAAGCCGGAAUUUCAAUAAAUGAAAGUGGCAAUUCAGCCAAAAACAAUCAUCUCAUUCGAUACUUCUCUAACCACUUCUUCUGAAACCUUGGACAACUGCAGAGUACCACUUCCAUCUUCAAAAACUAUGAUAUUCUGCCUGUCUCUUUCUAGUUUCCUCCCACACAAUAUGUUCCUUGCGAAUUUCCAGAUGCUUCUUCAAGCUUGAACGAAGUUCCACACUUGGUGUUACAGGACAUCGAUUUACCACAAUAAUGACAUAUGCAGGUGUUCACAUCCUCCUCAGUUCUAGUAACCUUGUGUUACUCUUAGUGACCUUAAAUUUCUUUUUUUUGGCUUCGACGGAGUUGAAAUAGUUUCACUCCUUGGAUUCUCCUUGCUUAUGUUUGUUUUUCUCUGUGCAAGGGUAGUUCCGUGAUCAUCUUCAGCAAAAACAUCCUUUGUUGGUGAUGAAGAAUCCAUCUGCAUAAACAUUAGAGAACUUCUUUCAGCUUUCUAAGAACACCCAAAACCCAAAUCCAGACAUGAAAGAUAAAACUCAAAUCGUGAAAUUAAAGAGAAACAAUCAAGACAGAAGAAUCAGAGAAGGAACAUUUACCUGCGAAUCAACUAUCAACGACGAUAAAGGAGGAGAAUGGUGGUGGUGAUCGUGAAAUUGAACUAUGGUUUCAAGUUUUUCCAAUUUGGGAUUUAAUAUAAGGGGGGAAAAAUAGAGAGAAGAAAUUGAAUGUUUUUUUUUCUACAUAUAUGUUUUGUAUAUGAUUUUCAUUUUUCAGGGGUAGGUUUAUGCAAUUAAGGUGUUGAUUAGUUCACCCUCCGAAAACGCCACGCUGCGUUUGCGGUUGGUAGCGGUUAGUUGCGUUUUAUAACAGUCAUACAAAUUGCUGCAAACGCUCCAUAUCAUUUUAUACCGCUGAAAUCCAAAGCUGCUUCCCGCCAGCGUUUGCGGUUUCGAGCGGUAGCGGUUGGAUAAAAAAAAAUAGAAGAUCACGUUAAAAAAAAUUAUUAAACCCUAACUCUACUAACCUUUAAUUAGUAAACAUAAUUUGGAGUAAUAUUUCCAACAAUUGAAAUAAAAUAUAUUAUUACAAAAUUUCUUAGUUUUUAAAAUAAUUAAAUAGUAUUUAUUUAUAUUUUUUUAUUAAUUAUUUUGAAUUGAUUUUGUUAUUAAGCAUGAUAAUAUAGUUUUUAUGUUUUUUUAAUCAUUAGUUUUGAUGUUUAUUUUGGUAAUUUUAUGUUUAACCGCUAAAACAUUUGCUGGUUCGCCAGUUAAAAAUAUUCCGCAAACGGAUCCGUUUAAAAAAAUUUAACCAGUCGUGGACACCGCUUAACAACGCUCAAAACCACAAUCUCCCGCUUCCGCAAACUCCCGCACUCGCAACCGCAACCCUGCGUUUAAACCAGUCAAGCCCUAAUUCAAAGAGUUUUUUUGUUAUUUGCACGUUUAUAUUUCUGUUCUCGGGUUUACCCUAACCCAAACCAAGAACCAAAUCAAAUAAAUUUUAGAACCAUUCGGUUUUUGCAUUCAACCCAAAUCAACCCCGAACCUGUUUUUUCCGGGUCGGUUUGGUUCGGGUCGAGCGGGUUUGAUUUUUAAGCCCAGACUGAGUACCAAAUGCAUAAACAUCAGUUCUUCUAGAAGUUCCAUUAUUGUUAGCUCAGGUGUGAUGCUGCUAAGGUUAGGGGAUCGUAGAUGAAGCUUUAAAUUUAUUAAACCCUAGUUUCUGCAAAUGCACAGUCGUGCGAUGUAGUAGUAGUACUUAGGGUGUUGAUCCACAUGAAGGUUGUCUAAUCUGUAAAAACUUCAAACUGGAAUAAGUAAGCGAUUUAAUAAACUCAUGAUAUUUUUGUGAGGUUUUUGUUUUUUUACGGGAAAAGAAAACAAUAAAUAAAACUAAAGAAAAUCUUAAACUAAUCGAUAUAGGCCUAAUAAUGAAAUGCAUGUUGGGCUGUGAUAACACCGUAUUUUGACCACUUUUAUGGAUCGUUUAGAAUACUUUUUCUAUGUUUUCUAUUGCUUUCAAGUACUUUUAUCACGUUUUUCUAGUAUUUGUAGUUCCAAGACUCUUUUCAGGAAACUUAGGGAAAAGCUUAACAAAAUGGAUAGAAAACCAGAUUUUUAGCUCAGAGUCAAACCGUCAGAAGUUCUCCACCGAUUGAAAGCCUUCUCACCGUCUGAUCCAGCUCAAAUUUGGAGAUCUCAAAGAUAGAAGUAUCAGCUUUCCAGCACACUUUACAGCUUGGCAAUCCAACGGUUCAAUCAAAAGAUACGCGAAGAGCAAGAUGUCCCGUAAACCAGCUGGCGAGCAUUUCCACCCGCGGCCAACAGGCCAUUCCCUGCGGUCACAAGCAUCCAGACCACUGCCAGCCAUCCAUUCCCCGCGGUCACGCACAUCCCGACCGCGGCCAGCUAACUCCAAGUUUGAAGGCCCAUUUCUGAAGACCAUAUCAUUUUCUCAGCCUCAAUUCCGGAACCCUAAACACCAGAGAGUAUUGGAGACUAUAAAUACAUAUCAUUUAGGUCGUUUUUAAAAAGAGAAGAGGAGAGACGAAAUACUUUAGAGAAAUUUUACUUCAAGCUUUGUUUUUAGGUUUUAGGGAGAGAGAGAUUUGUCUCUUGAACCCUUGUUCUUUCUUUUUCAAUUUUGGUUUUUGUUCUACUUUUUAAUACUAUGUUUUUGAUUUCGUUCAUUAUGUCUGAGUAGUUUUAUUGUUGGGUCUAAGGGAUUUUUGAUGGGGAUAUAUGUGUUCGAUGAUGAUUCCAUGAGCUAUUGAGCCGAAUCUUAGACCUUUUUCUUCUGAAUUCGUUUUUACUGCAUGAGAGUAGCGUCAUGAACUACAAUCUGAUCCAGAUACUUGGUGACACGAAAGUGUUCAUCCGAUGUCAGAUCUAGUUUGGGAGAUCAAAACAAACAUAGGAGUAGAAACCUACCUAUGGACAAUUUGUGAAUGCUGACGAGUCUUAAACAUAAUGCAUCUAUUCUCUUCCAGGGCCAGAGUGGAAACCUACUGGUCAGUGUUGAGAGAUAUAGUUAUCUAUGAUCACGACAAUGGUGUAUUCAUACGUCCGUGACUCCAGUUCGAAAAGUUUAAGCUAAGAUCUUAUCAAAUUUACUCUCUCUAGCAAUGUUUUGAAUCGUUCAUACCCCUGAGAAAACUUCACUGAACCCCAGCGCCUUCUUUCCUAUAGAUUUACACCGAUUUUCAUUCAUGCUUUAGUCUAGUAUCUUUACUCUUUCAAUCGAUUUUCAUUUAAGCAAUUAGGUUUAGCCGUUUUUCUCGUUUUUAGCCGUUUUUGUUAAGUUUAGUUAUUAUGUCAUUUUAAUUUCCGUAUUUUCCUUUUAAGAUUAGUUUUUACGUUUUAAACACACCACCAAAACCCUCACAAAAAUCACCUGGUUCUAGACUUCCUUACUUUAUAUUUCUUUCAAAGGCUUUUGCAGGAAAGAUCCUCCUUCCCUGUGGAUUCGAUCCCUAAGUACUACAAUCGAUCAGCUGUGCACUUGCGGCUAUUGAUUUCAUUUAGGGUAAAACUUGACACCCUCACGCAGACACCACAUCAAAUUUUUGGCACCGUUUCCGGGGAAGGCACGCAUUUUCUUUUCCGCAAAACCCUAAGAAAGGUUGGUAAAUCGACUCUAGAACCCCUUUUUCUGCAUAUUUCCAUUUUUUCGGUUAUUUUGUUUCCAUUCCAGAAGCAAUGGAUCCUAUAAAUCGAAAUCCCUACUAUGAGGGAGGCUUUUACAACACUCCUCAAGGCACCAGACGCAAAGAAAAACAAUACCUACGUGAUCUCUACGAAGAAGUUCGAACCGAAGACUACAGAACGUUCCUGAACGAGCCUUACAUGCCUCUAAUGGUAAACCCUAGACCACCUAUGUAUCGCCUACCUCACCAGGUUCUCCAGCAAGAUGAGAACUUCCAUCUCAGUAACCGAUUGAGUCAGCUCGAGGGCGUAAUCAAGCAGUUCAUAGAAGCUCAAGUAACCGCUACAACCGCUCUUAAUGAAAGGAUUGACGGGAAAUCAAAACUUUUCAAUGAGAAGAUCAAUAACCUAGCUUCACAAGUCAAAUGAAUAGAAGAACGAGCAACCAAAGACGCAGCUAUGAUCGCUAACAGGUUCGACAACAUGGAAGAAGAGCAGGCAACACACACCUACGAGCUUCGCAACACUAAAAACAAAAUGAUGGACCUGAAUUUCAAACUUGAUGAUGUGGACAAAGCCCUCAACGAAGCUAAGAACGAGUCUUAUGACUUCACAGUCAAAUUUUCAGAGAAAGUUUACAAAGUCAUUGACAAAACCGAAGAGCUUGACUCAACUAUGGACAAAGUAGUCUAUGCUCUUGAUGAAGUUGAAGAAAAGGUUGAGGAGAUCAUACAAGGACUUGGAGAGCAGAUUCCAGCAGCCAAAACUAAAGACCUCAUUAGUACCAAUCAGUUGAACAUCUUCUUCAGUAACCUGAUUUGAAGAGCCAACAAUCCAGAAAUCAAAAAGGAAGAAAGUAGAGCAUACAAAAUACUACACUUGCAUUAGGAUAGCCAAUAGACAUGAAAACAAAAUACACUGACAAACAAGUUUUGGGAAUCAAUACGUACUUCUUUCCGGGAAAAAGAUCUCGAAAACAAGCGGUAGAGCAGUUUUCUUGUUAAUCCAGUCACUCAAACUAGUUGAGCUUCUCGUGGAUUGUGGAUUCACCAUAGCUAAUUCCGAACCAUGAGGAAUUGUGAAGGCUAUGAUCUUCAGCGUCAGUGAUGGGUGGUGGAUUCACCAUAGCCGAAGCGAAUCAAGAAGGAUCUUCUCAAAACAAAAGACAAACGAAAUCCAGCAGAAAGAGUAAUUAUUAUAUCACCCAAGAGUAAUUAUUAUAUCACCUAAUUACGUAAGUCGAUCGGUUCAACGAAAAACAAAAUUAAUUAUAAAAUCUCACGCUAUUUGGUUUUUGGUGAUUGAUCUUUUUCGUUUUUUUUAAGGGAUAAAAAUAUCAAUAUUUUAAACUUAAUAAUGAAAAUGUUAGACCGCUUCUUGACAUGCAUUGCUUUAGCGGAGUAAAAGUGUAAAACGCAUGCAACAAAGUAAUGUUUCUAGCAAAACUUCUCACCCAAGUUAGGUCACAUUUUACAAGAUCUCCAAUCCGAUCCCUAGUUAGGUCAUUUACAAAAUUCAUCUUGAAACUACGAUCUGGCCAGCACUUUUCGAUGAGCUAGCGGCAGCAAAAGAGAGGGAUCAGUGCCUUGCUUUCGUUGAGACUGUACCGUAGCAGAGAUGCAUAUAUGGUCCUCACAUACUUGAUCAAAUCUAAAAUUGUCUCGUCCUGAAUUUACUCCUUUAACAUCCUGGUGAGGAGGUUCAUAAGCACAAACUAAAAGAAAAAUUGACAUAGAAAGAAGAAUAUUAAAAUAGGUUUACCCAUAAAAAAGUCUCAUUAUAUAUAAUAAACCGAACGAGAUUGUGUCAUAGAAGAAGAUUAGCUUGAGAGCUCGCUGUAGCAAUCCCAAAACAUUAUCUAAUUUCUUUUUGUAUAGUUUGUUUUAAUUACAGGAUAUGAAAACAACAACACGUAAAAAGAGGAUAGGCUACAAAACAUGCAACAUUAUAGAGGGAAUACAAGAAAAAUGUAAAAAGCUAAUUGAUACGUACAUCUAACAAGAAAUGGAUCGACAUGAAACCAAGUGGUCGUCUGGAAGAAGAAAAAGAAGUCAUCAUAAAUAAUUAAUUAGGUGUUUUAUUUAUAAAUUUCAAUUUUGAACCAAGAAGAACUCUAAACACAAUCACUUAAAUUGUAUCAUUUUUGUAAUUGAUAUUAUUUUGAAUCACUUAUUAACAAUUGAUAUAAACAUAUGUAAUUUAACAUCAGUUAUAUAACUGAUUUUACCAUUAAUUAAUUUAGCAUUGAUUCAAUGAUAAAUGAUACAAAUUUUUAUUAAUUUAUAUCACUUUAUGAAAAGUGAUACAAAAAUAUGAAAACACAUUACUUAGAUAAUUGAUAUAACUACAUUUUUUGUUAAUAUUAAUUAAGAAAAUGAUACAAAUAUUACAUCAAUAAAAAAAAUGAUGCUAAUAAGUUUUUAAUUAUCUAUGAUGUUUGUCCCAUAUUGAUAACUAAGAGAGGAGUUGAGAAGUUUGAUUUUUUAAAAAUACCUAUGAUUUAUCUGCGGAUUCUAAAAACCAAUAUCAAAGUUUUUCAUAUAUAAAACGCUUAAAUAAAAUAUUUUAUAAACUAAUAUUAAAAUAAUUUAUAAAAGUUAGUACUAACUUAAAAUGAUUACAUAUAUGUAAAGUUGAUAAAAUGAUCUUUGUAUAAUUGAUGCAAUUAUGCAAAUAUUUAUAUCACUUGUUUAACUGAUGCAAAUAUUUACGUCAGUUGUUUAACUAAUAUAAAUAUUUGUAUAAUUGAUGUAAAUAUUUACAUUAUCAUUUUUAGAAUCACUUAAAUAAGUGAUAUAAACUUCUUUUACAUCAUAUAUACGUAAUGCAAAUAUAGAAAAUAAAUGAUGUAAUUCACAUUUUUUUUUCUUGUAAUGACACUAGAUUCAACAGCGAUAAUGGAAAUCAUGAAUUCGAGAUUCAACACGGAAAUAAGAAGCAUGAAUCAUGGGACAAACCGGGUGGACAAUUUCUAAACUUAUUAUUUUAUUUUUAAUUUAUAAACUUAUUUAAUAGCAUUUAAAUUUUAAUGAACACCUACAAAAUUGCGAAAAAUUAAAUAACAAAUUGCUUAGAUCCCUAGAUUCUCGUAGAUCUUAGAGCUCAAUAUUAAUGGAUAUAAGAGGUUUUUCAUCUAUUAUAUUAAAACAGAAACACUUUUAGUGUUUGUUUCCAAACACUCCCAAAAUUUUUUUUUAAAUAUAUAUAUAUAUAUAUAUUUAAUAUCGAAAAUUAGAUAUUUAUUUAGAUAACUAAUAAUUUCCUUAAAUAUAGGUAUAUCUAUAGUCUAUAGAUAUUAAUUUAAAUAAAAUUCUUUAUAUAUAGGUUAGAUUUAAUUUAACAUUUGAAAUUUAAAUAAGAUUUUCAGAAUAACACAUAUGUUUAACAAAUAUCUUACUAUAUUUUUUUAAUCAUAUUCUAUCAAAUUAAAGAUUCACAUAUUGAAAAGAGAUAAAUAUUAAUAUUAUAUAAUAAAUUGAUGGAACAAAUUAAAUUUUUUUAUUAUUAUGGCCUUAUGUGGGUUAGGUUAUCAAAGCAUGCAAAAUAUUAGGAGAAAAUUACUUCAAAAUUAGUAAAUAUUUAUAUUAUAAAGUAAUAUAAACAGGCGGGUUAGAAUUAUGGUUUCAUAAUAAUAGUUUUUUCGGAUUAAUAAAAUGAGCGUGUUAGAAAUAUAUUCUUAUAAUAACAGUUAUUUUUUAUUAAUAAAAUAACCGGGUUAAAAUUAUGCUUUUAUGAUCAUGAUGGUCAUAAUAAUACUGAAAAAAUAAAAAAAAUUAUAUCUAAACACAAAUUGUUUUAUAUCACUUCUUAAAAAAUUAUAUUUAUAAAGAAAACAUAAAUUAGAUUACAAAUUUUAAUUAAAACAAAAUUCUCGUGCGAAUGCACGGGAUAAAAUCUAGUGUAAGUGUAACAACAAAUGCCUUUUUUUCGUUCAUGAUUUUUAAUAAGGAUUACAUGUAAUAACAUUGUUUUUGCCAAAAGGUUUUUUAUUAGAGAUCUCGUUAAUCUACCCAAGUUAUAAUCCAUCACCAGUUCGAGGAUUGUAUCAUCGGAUGUGACCAAGUCAAUAACUCUCUGCCAUGGACUAGGUUAAAUCGAAUAAAAAUAAUUUAAGUUUCUAAUCAUAAACAUAAUGGUGCGAUUGGCUACGUUUCUUAAAAGAGUUGUUUUUCUUGCCGAAAAGGGAUUGGGUUUUGAAAUUUAAGUGAAAACAACCAAAUCAUCCCAUGUCGACCUAAUUCGGUUGGGUUUUUCCUUUAUAGUUUGUUGAAAUUUUGUUCACAUCCCUCCCUUUAUCAGUUAUUACCAAAGAAAGAUACAACUGAUAGAAAGAUAAUUGGGCCAAAAUUCCUCUUUAUUGUAUAACGUAACGUCUAGUCUUUGGUAAUGUUGUUUGUUAAUGAUUAUGUGUUUAUCGUUUCUUGGGCUUUCGUCACGUGAUCCUGCACCACUCCAUACUCUCACUCACUUUGUCACCGCCGCUCUUAUUUACUACAAACGCCAUUGUUUUGUUGUGAAAAUGUGAUGAGAAAUUUAGAAAUGGAAGUUAUUGCUUUCAUGUCUUUAUUUUUUCAUGGACACCAUAAACAAAGUAUAGACUUAAUGCUAAUUAAUUACAUGACAUAUGAUAGAAUAAUGAUAAGAAUGAUUAUUGUGAUUUAUAUGUGUGAAUAAUAGUAUGUUCUUCCAUUAAUACGUAAUUUUAGCUAUUAGGAGUAUCUUUAAUCCAAAAAAAAGUAAUAUUAGGAGUACAAAAGAAAUAUUCUUCCAGCUUCUUGUUGUAUAUACACUACAAAAAAAGAGUGUUUUACAUCACUUAUUUUUUAUGUUUACAUCAGUUUUAAGUGAUGUAAAAGAAUUUUGCAUCAUUUAAAUAAGUGAUUCUGAAAGUGGUGAUGCAAAUAGUUUGCAUCAGUUAUAGAAAGUUUUACAUCGAGUUUUAGAAUCGAUGUUACUAUGUAUCAUUUGCAAGAAAAUGAUGUUAAUACUUACAUCAGUUAAUUUAAUCGAUGCUAAUAUUUGUUACGGUUAUCAUAACUGAUGUCAAAUGAUACAUCAUUUGAUAAUAAAUGAUACUAACAACUGUAUCACUUAUAACAAAUGAUGUCAAUACUUAUAUCAUUUGUGUGUAAUUGAUGUUAAUAUUUGCUACGGUUAACAUAAAUGAUGUCAAAUAAUAUAUCAUUUGUUAAUAAAUAAUACUAAUAAUUGUAUCACUUAUAACAAAUGAUGUCACUAUUUAUAUCAUUUGUGUAUAAUUGAUGUAAAAAUUAGCAUCAGUUACCAGAAAUGAUCGUAAUAGUUAUAUCACAUAUAACAAUCGAUGCAUAAGCAUCUUGUGGUUUGCAUCAUUUUAUAGAAAAAUGACGAUAAUCUAAUAUAUUCAUAAACGUCAUUUUAGCAUAUUAAAAAAUAAAUUUAAUAAAUUUAAAAAAUAUUUACAAAUUAAUAUUAAAAUUUUUAAUCAAUUAAUUAAAAAAUUGAAUCUAAAUUGCAUAUUAAUAUAUUAAUAACUGAAUCACAAUGAAAAUCUAAAUUGCUUAUAAAUUGUAUCAUCCAAAUGAAAAAACUGUUUAAAACAUAAUUAAACUAAUUAAAUAAAAAGUUCUUAAACUAAUGUUGAACAUGCCCACCAUAAUCUUCAAUCACCACCUCUCUAAUUUCUGUUGGUAUCAUCUCCCGUUUCCUAAUAAAAAAGCAGACAACAAAAUAAGACUAAUUAGAAUAUCAUCUGAAAUUUAAAACCUAUAAAAUUAAUAAAUAAAAUUACAUUCACCUGAGAGUUAGUAGGAUUUGCUAAAUUCUUGAAAGCAGCCAUAAAAUUUUUAGUCCAUGCAAUUGAUGCCUAAAUAAACACUUUAAAAUAUCAGUUUUUUUUAAUUAUAGAUUAUAUGAAUACAAUAUAAAUUACAAAUGAUCGACAUACCUGUUCACCAGAUUGAGCAGCAAGUAUCUGUUGAAUGAACAUACUCAUAGACUUAUUUGUUUCUUCUAGUCCUUUCAUAUUUGUCUUCAUUCGAAUAUAGGCUUCAGAAUUUUCUAUCUCUGGUGUUACUUGAGUAGUUUUACCAAAUAACUUUGAAGGUGUGGGUCCACGUCCGACACAACGUAUUCGUCCUGGCCGUUCUAGACCAAACACUUGGGCAUAUUCAUCAUCCAAACUAGCUAUAACAUUGGCUGUGACUUGUCUUGAUGGAUUUUGGGUUAACAAUGUUGUAAGUGCUUCCUGAAAGUGAAUUAAAGUAUAAUAUUCGGCAUAAUCAAAAGAAAAUUUAUCAAAGUAGAAAUGAAUCAAUUAAGAAUUGAACUAACCCCACGUGUUUUAGCUUCCUCUGAUACAAAACUUCCAUCAGAUUUCGUACGAGUUGCAACGAAGAAUUCAGCUCGACUUGGUGUUUUUCCCGUCUUGAUUGUCUGGUACAUGCAAAAAUCAUAUACAUAAUUAGAUUUAAUUCUCAUGUAUGAGACAUACAAUAUAGUUUGUUUACUUACAAUCGCACGUCUUUUCCUUCCAAAACUCUUUCUUCCACACAAAUGAGGCAUAGUGUUCUUCUUUUGAUUCUUUGUAUUCCGUUCUUGCAUUUUCUGAAAGCUCAAGAAAAAAAAUUUACAUAUAUUUGAUAUAUUAUAUAACAGUCUAUCUAGUAAAUAAUUUAUACCUUCCAGUUUUCAGUGAAUCGUAAGCAUACGAAAUUAUGCCACUGACUUUCAGGAACAUUAUUGGGUCGAUUUUGCAUCGUUUCAGUCCGAUCAUCCCGUUUGUAAUUUUUCCAAAGACGCCCUUUGAAACUGUUGCAUCUGCUCCCUAGAACACUCAUCACAUACUUCCUUCUUGUCGUUGGGUUAUCAAACCAAAAUUUUGCCUACAAAUUUACGACAUCAGUAAUGUAUCUUUUGAGCCAAUAUCUCCAUGUGGCGAGAAUAAUGUGCUGUCAUAAUAAAUUAUUAAUAAAGAAAUUAUUAUUUCUCAUAACUCAAAUAAAACUACACAAAUAUUUGAGUUAUUUUACAAAUGUACAAGCAAAACCACAUAAAAUAGUUUAAAAGAAGCAAUUUAACAAUUAUUAAUGUAGUUUUUAUGAUGUAUAUAGUUGAUAAUAAUAUAUUCAGGAAUCAUCUAUUAUUUUAAUUUUAAACAAAGCAUAUGUAUAAUAUUUUUAUUUUUUAACAAUAAUCCAUAAGUACUAAAAACAUCCAAAAUAAUUCUAUGAGUAAAAAUAAAAAAUCUAAAUUAAUAAUAUUUUUAAUAUCAAAAAAUAUUAGUUUAUAUAUAUAUAUAUAUACAAAUAUUUAUUGUGUUUUUGUUAAAUAUUUAAGUGCAUCAUUUUGUAUCAUGGAAUGUCAAUUAAUUUAGUACACUUAUCGAUUGUAUUUAUUUGAGAUAAAACUGUAUUCUUGGGUAUAGUUUAUAUAUCGAUUAUCUGCCUUAUUCAGAUUAAUAAUUAAAGUGUUAAAAAAUAAAUUUAUUCUUUUAAAAUUAAAAAUAUUUAUAUCUUGUGAGUUAAUAUAUCUAAGUAUCCAAAACGUUUUAACACUAUUUAUAAAAAUACAUAGAUAUUACCUGAAUUACAUCCCACACCUUAUUUUUUGUGUUGUCACCAACCAAUCUCCAUUCAGUGUAGUCAAUAGGUAACAAAUUCACAUCAGUACUUAAUUGACCCAGCCAUGAUCCAAGUAAACCUCCAGAAUCUUCAACUGGUUGACCGCUAUCUCCAUCAAACUGUACUAUCACUUUGCAAUUUUGCAAUUUCCAAACAUCUCUAGCUGACACCAUUUUUCCUUCUAUGUUCCCAGCCGUAUCUUGUUAACAAUUAUAUACAUUAUGAAAAAAAUUAUUAGUCUAAGAUAACUCAAAUCAGCAUAAUAUAUUUAUAGAAUCUAUUUACAUUACCUAUGACUUGUACAUUCCAUUUGAAGCUUUUGCAGUCUUGAGCAAGUGUAGGAGGAGAAUCAUAAGUUAUAUCAUCUGGUGUUUGUGUCUCUGAAUCCUGAAUAUCACUAAAAGACUGCAAAUACUCCAUAACCUAAAUUAAAAAGUCAUAUUUAGUUAACAAUAACAUCUGUAGCAACGAAAAAACAAAGUGAAGGCAAAAUAUAUAUACGUAACAAAAUUUCAACUACUCUAUAAAAUUGCAAAUACAAAUCAUUCAUCAAAGUCAUCCUUAUUAGAAACGAGACUAAAAUAUACUAUAAUUUUUAGGAUUAUAAAAAGGAAGAUAGUAAAAAAACUAAUAAAAAUAUGUUGCUUGGAUCCAACUGCGUAUAGAUGAGAUCUAAAUAUAGUGGUUUAAUCAUACAAACUCCAUUCUGAAAUGAAAGAGGUGACGUCACCUAGACUUAAUCGGCCAGAAAAAUUUGUGACAAAAAUCUGCUAGAUUUAAUCACCUAAAUUUGUUCAUCGAUAAUUCUGAUGCUUAAUUCAUAUCAAAAGCCCACCGUUAGAUGUUCAGAUGUUAAUCAAGCUUAGUACUUUUAAGCGAGUUCGGCCAGAAAAACGACAAAGACAAAAAAGCAAUCGGCCAGAGAACGACAAACUUUUAAAACCUAGAUUUAGAAGUUGAUUUCGAUUCUGUCAAACCCAGAACAAAAGCAUAUAACAGAUAUGAUUAAACACAAAAAUAUCAAACAAUAUUACCUUGAUUUUAAGCAACUUCUGGUUUUUGAUAUGAUCAGCGCCGUUUUCCAAAGAGAGUAAAGAAGCCCUAAAUAUUAUUAACUUAGUGGUAAUCAAUUUAUAGAUAAUUAUUUAUUAAGACUUAAUAUGUACGUAAUUCAUUUCCCGCUUGUAAUCAAUUAAAUAGCGGGAAUUGUAAUUAAAAAAAUUCAAUUAUUUUGGACGACUAAUAAAUUCCCACUUAAAUAAUUGAACUUGUGACAACGGUGGGCAGUGGUGGCAGUUGAGAGAAGGAGAGAUUAUCAAAAUCGUUUGUUCUCUCCGGUUCUUGGCCUUCGCUCUUGAUCAUGUUCUUGAUGGUCACUGGCUUAACAUCUUCUUGGUCGAAGAACGAUUUGGUUUUAUUCAUGACAUGUCCAUCACGAUCACGAUUUGGUACCUGAUCAUCAUGAUCACGAAGAAGCUCUUGUUGUGGCCAUGUGAAGAUUGUUUGGUCUUGUCUCAUCAUGAAAGUAGUCUGGAUUUGUUGUUGUUGUUGUCCCUUCAUCAUCACCAUCAUCACCAAUCAUAUACUCUUCCCUGCAAACUUUUAGCUUUAGCAGUUUCUUUAAAUUUAUCCACUACGUUCUCUUGUACUUUGAUUAGGGAUAUCUUCGUAAUAAAUCUCAGAGACAGUAAGCAAAGGGGAAAAACGAAAAAAUUCAAUCCUCGGAUAGUCCUUUUUAAAACAGAGCUUAAUGUGAUGGUCACUGGCCACAUAUUUUGCUUUCCAUCGUUGUUCUUCUAUGUAAACAUCUGUCUGAGCUUAAUGUGAUGGUCACUGGCCAAAGGAUUGCCGUGUAUCAGGAUGGCUAGAAGACAAAGAUAUGGAGAGUGAGACAAUGCUCCUUACAGAGUUCAGUUACGACUUAGACAGGUCCAACGCACAGACAUUUGACAUUGCAGAUUCAGCUCACUCGGGACUUGUCAAUACUGUAAGGCUGACUUCACAUCCAACCAUGGAAGCUCAUCACACACUUGCAUCUACCGCUUCAGGGUUCACGGCCGUGAACUAGACUCAGUCUCUGUUGUUCAUGCUUGAUCUGAAAUCCACGUGAAACUCCUCUUCUCUGUAACAUUUCCUCUUAGAUAUCUCUCUCUCUCUCCUUUUCCUGGUUUAUGGGGUGGAAAAGCUUCGAGUCUGUAUUACUCUUCUUAAAUCUUCUAUAACAAAAAACGAAAACAAAGAGGAAAGAAAAUAAAACUAGGUAACAUUUCGAUUUGUUUUGAAUCCAUACCAAAUUCUAGUUAUCUUAAAUCUUUGUUAGUAAACAAAAAAGUUUGUUGGUAAUUUGGUAUGUCUUUUAAUAGUAUGGUUCAUAUGGUGUGAGGUUUAGUUGAUAAUAUUAAAACGAUGUUCGUGGUGCGCUUACUUCAACUUCCACUAGCUUUUUAAAAAUACAAAAAGUAAUAGAAAAGCAUCUCCUAAAACAAAAUAAUAAACUCAGAUUUAUAAAGCAUCGACAAACACAGAUUAAUAAACUCAGAUUUAGAAAACUAUCAGAUUCUUUGCUUCCUCUGUCCUCGGAGUUGCACAUCUCUGCAAUGUCACUUUUUGUGAAAUCUGUGUUUACAGAAUUAGUUGACCAACUUGUUCUAUCUUUUGCAUUGGAUCACCAGCAAGCAAGAAAAGCAGCAGAGAAAACACAUCAAGUUGUGAAAGUGGAAGAGAGAAUCAACAGAGUGGUGAUGGCUGCAAACAAAGCAGUGAAGAUAUUAAGAACAUUUAGAGAAUACAAACGAAUAAGAGGAAGGAUCUACGUAAUCCAGUUUGAAAAAUCUGCAUAACAUAUAAUUUCAUAAGAUUGAAAAAUAUAAAUCAGCAACAACACUCACCAUCAAACUAUUAUGAAGUAUCUAGAUCACCCAUAUCAUAUAUGUCUCUAGGCUGAAAAUGUACUGCAAUUUCCCACUCCGGCUCAAAAGGAUCUUUUACAUAAUACACCAUUUUAGCCUGAGAAGCCAAUAUAUAAGGCUCAUUCUCCUCAUCAUUUCCAAUAUGUAACAAGCGUGAAAAAUUAAGCAACUUAUGACCAUAUGUGUCAGUUUUAUAUCUUCGUUUAGAUCGAGUAUCAGCCCACUUGCAUUUGAAUAAUAUAACUUUGAAAACCUCAUAAUAGUUUAACUCCAUAACCUCAACCAAUUUUCCAUAGUAAGCUACAUCUCCAGCUAUUGGGUUAAGAUCACGAGAACUCGCGUAACUCAUAGUCUCAGCAGCCACAUAAACACCACUAUUUUGUGUUUUCAGGUCAGCCUCUCUUUCGGUUGUCCGGAACUUAAAUCCAUUGACAUUGUAAGCUGUAUACUUCACAACUUUCUCAGACGGACCUAGAGCUAAGCAUCGUAAAUCAUCAUUUAUACCAUCUAACUCAUUUUUUUCUACUUUCUCCUUGAUCCAUUUUGCAAAAUGGAGAUGCAUUUCUCUGUCAAUGUCAAUCGCACGAUUCCUCCUGUUCUGACGACCAUAUUUCUUCGACAACUCAUUUUUGAACUUCUUAUAAAGAAAAUUACACGAAUUAUUUUUAUUAAAAUAUAUCAAUAAAACAAAAAAAAAGUAUGUUCUUUGAUGAAAAAGACUUACCCUCGUAAGGGAUCAAGUAGAUGACAGUUGACUAAAAUAUGUCGAUGUGCUUGAUACCUCUCUACGUAACUAAGUGUAUGAACGUGACCUGCACCAACAGGUUUCCCAAGAUUUGGAAAAAGAAGAGGUAAUUCUGAGUUUGGUCUUACACUUGUGUCAGCCAGAGGUCGAUCGUCAGCACGGCUAACACGAUUAAAUCGUGUCUCUAUAUCAUCAAGAUACAUUGAGCAAAACGUUACACAUUCAUCAGCUAAAUACUGCUCACAAAUUGAACCCUCAGGUUUAGCACGAUUGCGAACAUAUGAUUUAAAAUAUCCAAGAGUCCUGUAAAUGAGUAAAUCAAGUAAGUUUCAACUUAUAUAUAAAUAUAGAUGUAUAUGUAAUGAGAAAAAUUCACCUCUCAAUUGGAUACAUCCAACGAAAUUGAACUGGUCCACCAUCUUUUGCUUCGUCGGUGAGAUGUACAAUUAAAUGUAUCAUCACUGUAAAAAACGAGGGAGGAAAUAACAUCUCCAUACGACAUAAAGUCACUACAAUACGGUCUUGUAAUUUAUCAAGUUCAUUGAUAUCAAUGACCUUAGCAGAGAUAUCUCUGAAAAAUCGACAAAGCUCAACAAUGACUGAAGUCACCUCUGGUGGCAGCAAUUUUCGAACUGUGAUUGACAACAAAUCUCGCAUUAUUAUGUGACAAUCAUGGCUUUUUAAACCUGAUAGCUUCCUAUUGUUAACAUCAACACAAUUAGAUAUGUUAGAAGCAUAACCAUCAGAGAAUUUUACAUCCUUUAAGACAUUUAGAAUAAUGUCUUUCCCAGCAUUAUUCAGAGUAAAACAUGCUGUCUGGUACUUUCCGGUAUCAUCGGGCCACAAAUCAGGACGUAUCCCAAGCUCACGAAGAUCUUUUCUAGCUUGUAAAUUGUCUUUUGAUUUUUUUUGGUCAUCCAAUAAUGUGUAGAUUAUGUUGUUGAACACAUUUUUUUCUAUGUGCAUCACAUCCAAGUUAUGUCGUACCACAGUAAACUCCCAAUAAGGCAAUUCAAAAAAUAUACUCUUUUUCCUCCAUUGUUGAGAAUUGUAUAUUUCUGCCUCGCCUCGACCUCUCUUUUUCCCAACUGAACCAUGUUUCUUACCAAGAAUAAUGUUAACUUGCUCAAGUUGAUGAACAAUUGUAGCACCUGUCAACUUCAAUGGUGGAGAUCGGGUUUCUAUUUUUCCAUCAAAACUAGUUUUAUUUUGACGAAAAUCAUGAUCUGGAGGAAGAAAACGACGAUGACCCAUAAAACAAUUUUUCUUUCCAUGGCGUAAACGUUGUCCACAUGAAUCAAAAUUGCAGUUUGGACAAGCUAAUGCUGUAUACGUAUUCCAACCAGAUAAAUUUCCAAGACCAGGAAAAUCACUAAUUGUCCACAUGAUGGCUGCUCGCAUGUCAAACGUUUGUUUUGUAGAAACAUCUAGCGUUUUGACCCCUUCAGACCAUAAUUCCUUUAAUUCUUUGAUAAGUGGCUGCAAAUAGACAUCAAUAUAUUUCUUUGAAUUUUUUUUGUUGUUUUUUUAAACUUAUUAAUAUUAUAUUAAAAUUUCCCAAACCAGGAAUCAGAGCUGGUUUACAAUUUGAUAACCGAAAUAAAAUAACUGAAUCAAACCAGAAAACAUUUGAGAGAAUCGAAAACAUCACCACCGAAAAAGAGAAUUUGAAAAAUAAAUUGAAUGAUUUCUUAUGCCGAUGGACUUCUGCCCCGGCGGCUAUGAAAUACAAGCUUUGCGGCACAUCGCAACCGUCAAUAUCAGCUUGAGAGCCGACCCAAGCCUCCAGAUCCGGCCAGUGAGUCCUGAUCCCCACUCGAUAUUUCUCGGAAAAAAAAAUCCGACAAAAGAAAUCACAGUUGAAAAUGAGCUGUCUCGAAGAAAUUUGAGCGGAGAUCUACCAUCACACAACACCGAAACUCUCUUCAGUCCACCGAUUUCCGGUUUUACCAACCAAUCCUUCGAUCCAGCCAAAGAAUCCAAGACAGCCUCCGGGCAACAAGGAAGAUAACUUACCGUCGUCGCCGUGAAGAACUGCGAGUCCGCAUAGAUCGGAGACGACCACCGCGGAAUCCAUCCUCAGCUUGUAGUGCAACCCACCUAACCGUUGCGACGACGCCAGAGUUCCUUUCACAUCUCUUCCGCCGCAUCCUCAAACAGCUUCAGAGCAUCUGAAAAGCAUCUCGGUUUGUCGAUGUAUCCGCCACAGCGCUACCUCGCCGCGUCGGUUGAACCACGCCACAACACCACCAGAGAAAGGAUGGCGAUUCUUCAAGCUUCUCCUUGCAACCAGCACCAUCGAUGAAGAGCAAAAGCAAGAUAAGAAAGGGGGACCCCCUCGCGGUGCCGAUGAAGAGCUCCGGUGACCGUAGGGGUCCAAACGAGGAUGAACAAAAUUGCCUACUAACGAGAAAGUAUUUUAGCGCGUCAGAUCUACUCUCUUUGUUUAUCCCUUUAUUUCUCUGAAUCUUGUUUAACUGAAUUAUAUACAUUAUAUUGGAGUUUUUACAUAAUCUUCAAGCCUCAAGAUCUGAUAAUUACUCUCACCAAAAAAAAAAAGAAUUUCAAAAGACUCAUUUCAAAACGUUGUUUGGUCACAUAUGAACUAUAAUGCCAAUUGCUAGUGAAAUACCAUUGUCACAACUAGAACUGUAAAGUUUUUUUUUAAAACUAGAACUGUAAAGUUCAUGUAAGUGUUUUGAUGGAUAUUUAAUAACUGAAUUACAUACAUUAUAUUUCUUCGCCAAGAUACAAAAGUUGUGAUUCUACUUAAUAAUGUUUAUCACCACAACAUUAGUAGAAAAAUAUGAAUCCAGUAAGGAUUUUUUCACUACUUGAAACAGUUCGAGGACAAUCAUCCAUAAACUCAUGACUUUUAAUUUUAUUUUACAUUUGGUUGUUCAAUAAACUUAUGAUUCUUGUGUUUAAAAUCGCUCUAUUCUUCAAGAUCUCUAUUUACUUUUAUGAGCAUGUGUUCGCAAAGGUUUUAUAAACUUUUGUAAACAACAACUAAGAUUGUAAUUACUAUCUUACCUUAUUGGUAUCGAGUUAUAUAUGUUUUGUUGAUGCUAUAAAGCCACAACUUUUGUGAUAUUCGUUCUUAAAAAGAUGAAAGUAAAAUUUCAAAUUUGUCCCAAACUUCUAAUGGUUUUUGUUGUUCUUACCAAUUUUACAUAAAUUAUGGCCCCAUAAACAAUACUAUAUUUAUGGGUAAACUGUUCCAAGCACGUUAUAUUCCUUUGUCAAUAAGUAUAAACAUGUGUUACUCUAUUAUUUUUUUUUUCACUUCUAAUAUAUGAGCAUUUUUUUCAGCUUAUCCACUUUUAAUUACAAAAUAAAUAAAAAAAAUAUAUUUUAUCCAUUAUUCUGACAGAGAAAACAAAAAUUAAUAGAGGGAUGAGGCAUACGAAAAAAAUACAAAAUAAGAAUUUGAAAUUGGGGGUUACACUUACACAAAGAACCGUAUCCUUUUUGAAAUUUCGAAUAGAAAAAAAAAAAACAAAUCGGCGCCUCCGAUGUUUGGGGAAAUAAGGAAAAAAACACACAACAAUAGUUUAAAAAAAAGAAAAUAAUAUACGCUCCCGUUGUUACCUCUGCUAUAUAAAACGCAUCCCUCUUCUCACUCACUUCACUCUAGAAAACCCUAGAUCUCUCUCUCUCCUCCUCCGGAUUUGGAUUUCGAUUCCAGAUCCGCGAAAAUCCUUAAUCAUCGUCUCUUUCAUCACUUCAUCCACCGAAAAUGAGAGAGAUCCUUCACAUCCAGGGUGGCCAGUGCGGUAACCAGAUCGGUGCCAAGUUCUGGGAAGUCGUCUGCGCCGAGCACGGCAUAGAUCCGACCGGUCGUUACAUCGGAGACUCAGAUCUGCAACUCGAGCGCAUCAACGUCUACUACAAUGAAGCUAGCUGCGGUAGAUUCGUCCCUCGUGCUGUACUCAUGGAUUUGGAGCCUGGAACCAUGGACAGUCUCAGAUCUGGACCGUACGGUCAGACUUUCCGUCCUGAUAACUUCGUCUUCGGUCAGUCUGGUGCGGGUAACAACUGGGCCAAGGGGCAUUACACUGAAGGAGCUGAGCUAAUCGAUUCCGUCCUCGAUGUUGUUCGUAAGGAAGCCGAGAACUGUGAUUGUCUUCAAGGUAAAUCUUCAAGAUACAUUCGAUUUUUGGGUUGAUUUCGCUUUUGUUCAACUGUUUUCCUGAGUGAUGGAGUUUGAAACUGUGUGGAUUUUGCUCUGCAGGGUUUCAGGUUUGCCAUUCCUUGGGAGGAGGAACUGGAUCUGGUAUGGGAACACUCUUGAUUUCAAAGAUCCGUGAAGAGUACCCAGAUCGAAUGAUGCUUACCUUCUCUGUGUUCCCUUCGCCAAAGGUCUCUGACACUGUCGUUGAGCCUUACAACGCUACUUUGUCUGUGCAUCAGCUUGUUGAGAAUGCAGAUGAGUGCAUGGUUCUUGACAACGAGGCCUUGUACGACAUUUGCUUCAGGACUCUGAAACUCACCACCCCAAGCUGUAAGUCCUACUAAGCUUUCAUUGUCUCAUUGGUUCUGUAUCCUUAUGUGUAGUUCUGUUGAGCUGUCUCCUUUCUCUGUGUGAUGCUUUUUUGUUUAUCUGUGGUCAAUAUGCUUUGUCUAGAUAGUGAAAUGAUUUGGUAAUUGUUUCGUAUAGCCAUUACAAUUUGCAAUUUCUGGCCUGAUUGAUACUCUCGCUAUCUACUGGUUUCAUUGGUCUGUUCUUGCAUAGAUACGCGUCCUGUCUCAUGUGUUAUUGGUUAUCUUCGUUGAUCUCAUCACCAAAAUAAAUCGUUGAGUUACUCUCUGGUUAAGUGUCAUCAUUUUAUUUGGUACGUCUUGUAGCAUAAGGGAUACUCAGAAUCUAGUAUUUGUAUAGAGCAGUAAAAAUUGUUGACUGCCUUUAGUUAUCUGAAAUUGAACUACCUGCUCUAAAAUGUAGUGUUGCUUUUGCGGUACAUCUUUGUUUUCCUGUGUGUGUGUGUAAAUGACUAAGAGGUAACUCACAUACUUGUUCACUCUCUUUAUGCAGUUGGUGACCUGAACCAUUUGAUAUCUGCCACAAUGUCUGGUGUCACAUGCUGUCUGCGAUUCCCUGGUCAGCUAAACUCUGACCUUCGUAAGCUUGCUGUCAAUCUUAUCCCAUUCCCUCGUCUCCACUUCUUCAUGGUGGGAUUUGCUCCUCUCACCUCAAGAGGAUCUCAGCAGUACCGAUCCCUCACAGUCCCUGAACUCACCCAGCAAAUGUGGGACUCCAAGAACAUGAUGUGUGCUGCUGACCCAAGACACGGCCGCUACCUCACAGCCUCUGCCAUGUUCCGUGGCAAGAUGAGCACCAAGGAAGUCGACGAGCAGAUGCUGAACGUGCAGAACAAGAACUCUUCUUACUUUGUCGAGUGGAUCCCAAACAAUGUGAAGUCAACAGUCUGUGAUAUCCCACCUACUGGUCUGAAGAUGGCUUCCACCUUCAUCGGCAACUCAACAUCUAUCCAAGAGAUGUUUAGGCGUGUUAGCGAGCAGUUCACAGCUAUGUUCAGGAGGAAGGCUUUCUUGCAUUGGUACACAGGUGAGGGCAUGGACGAGAUGGAAUUCACAGAGGCAGAGAGCAACAUGAACGAUCUUGUUUCCGAGUACCAGCAAUACCAAGACGCAACCGCAGAUGAAGAAGGCGAGUACGAGGAUGAGGAAGAAGGAGAAUACCAACAGGAGGAGUAUUGAGAGAGAGUAAGUGUACACCACCUUAAAAAAUCAAUUUAGUCUUUUGCUUUUCUUUCUUUUUUAAAACAAAGAAACCUCAACUACCAGUUGCAGGUUUUUUUUAUGCUUGUAUUAACAACUCUGGAUCUUGUUGACUUAUGGUGUGGUUUGUGUACUUUUGAUCUUAAAAUUCGGUUCGUUCUUCGUAUAUCCCCUGUUUAAUUUGAAUCUUGACGUCUGGUUUUGUUUGUUUUUAUUUUUGUUGUUUUGAAUUUUGAAGAUAUAUAAGGCAAAAUAUUAUGAUUCAAAAACCCGAGAAUUAAAACAAUAGAAAGGAGAGUUCCCAAAUUUCUAUUAAGGUAAAUAACGUUUUGUGAGUCCGAUUCAAGGAAAACAGUAUUAGGGGUUUACUAUUUUAGGGUUUUUUAAGAGACUCAAAGCUUAUGUACGAUACAAGCACCGAUCUAACCGAUGACGCCGGUCUACACUCUAACGACUGCCUGUGAAGUCUCAAUUGAGAUUUUGAUGCGUCUCCAAGCUUAAGUCCUUGAUUAUCACCAGCAGAGAAUUCAGGAAUCGGCACUUGAAUACUGCUUCUUCCUCAGCUUCUCCUCGUCCCGUCUCCUCAUUGUUUUUGAGGACUUUUACAGAGAAAAGCUUCUGGUAGAUUUGUCGCCUCUUCCUCCUCUUCUUCUUACAGAGAUCUUAGCCUAGUCAAAAUUGAUGGGAGAAAGGUGUAUAAUCCGUGUCUUUAGUGAUCACUUCUCUAUCACCUAGACAAAUCUCACUUUUCAGUAAUUGCUCCAGUGCACAUUCUUCAAUCAUGUAGUGGGUUAAACGAUUUCGAAAUGGGUCAAAGAUUCUACCACUUGUACUAUAAUGCUAUAAAGGACACCUGCAUUGCAAGCACAUCCCUUGUCAUCUCGGAUAAAAUUGGAAACUUGCAGCGGUUCAAUUUCCACCAUCCCAAAACAUAACAUCAUAAUCUGUACCGAAUAUAUUUUUUUUUGGAGUUUCACAUUUCUCCUUUAAACAUAUAUCCAAUUUCGUACCUGAAUCUUCAGUUCCUAACUCAUCUACCAUUUUUUGUACACAAAAUCCAUUUUUCAUAUCCAAUCUCAAAAUCUAAAUCUAUUUUUGUCAAAGACAUUACCUGUAGCAUGAUCUUGAAUCGAAUUACCACUCCGAGACUCAGUACCUGUGAAUUUAGAUGAUGUCUCACCUCUAGAUAGCUUGCUGCUAUACUCCUCAAACAACUUCUUCAUAACCGUAGUCACAUAAUCAGACAACUCCCUUGAUUCAGGACUAUCUUUUUCAUAAAUCCCGUCAAAAUAAAGUGUAGCAAACCUUAUUUUGUUUCUCGGAUCUAAGAUACUCGCAAUGAUUAGAAGCUUAUUGAUCUCUGAUCAUCCUAGUACUUAUCAGAUUUCUCUCUCAUUGCAUCAGCCUUUGUCCUCAUUGUUGGAUCCUGAUCGUUCUUAGCUUUAUCAAGUUGGUUUCGAUAGUCACAAUCUCAUUGUAACACUUGUCAAAAUUCAGUGAAGUAAACAUUCUAAGGGUAAACUGCCUCUUGACAUUUUGCUGAUUCCACUCUUAGAUCGAAUGUCUUUAUUCUGUUAGUAGAAGCUCUCACAUACUGAACACCAUUACAGAUCGCAGAUACACUUUUGCCAACUUCAUGUAACCCAUCAUUCACUAUCAAGUUAAUGAUAUGAGUAACAGAAAGUAAAUGCAUGUGGUCACCUCCUAAAACCAAUGCGUGAUCACCUGUUCUGCUGAAAGCCUCCUUAAACUUCCUUGGUGCACUGGUGUUGGCAGUGGCGUUGUCAACAGUGAUUGUGAAGACCUUCUCUAUCCCCCAAUCAGCCAAUCACUCUAGCAAAACUCUGCGAAUUGUAUUUCCCUUGUGAUCGUCGAUGUUCUUAAACCCUAUGAUCAGCUUCCUUAUAAUUAGCUGCCACUUUACAUCAAUAAAGUGAGCCGUGAUGACCAUAUAGCUAGCUCUGGUUGUGGGAGCAACCCAAAUAUCAGUUUUCAAAGACACCAUUUGCUUGUUUGCACCAAGCACCGUUCUCAUAGCAGAUUCCUUCUUAAUAUACACAUCCCCACGAAUGUGACUGUUCUCCUUGACUUUGGAUUUGGAAGAUUCACACAAUUGCAGAAAUGUCUCCAAGCCAGAAUUUCAAUAAAUGAAAGUGGCAAUUCAGCCAAAAACAAUCAUCUCAUUCGAUACUUCUCUAACCACUUCUUCUGAAACCUUGGACAACUGCAGAGUACCACUUCCAUCUUCAAAAACUAUGAUAUUCUGCCUGUCUCUUUCUAGUUUCCUCCCACACAAUAUGUUCCUUGCGAAUUUCCAGAUGCUUCUUCAAGCUUGAACGAAGUUCCACACUUGGUGUUACAGGAAAUCGAUUUACCACAAUAAUGACAUAUGCAGGUGUUCACAUCCUCCUCAGUUCUAGUAACCUUGUGUUACUCUUAGUGACCUUAGAUUUCUUUUUUUGGCUUCGACGGAGGUGAGCUAGUUUCACUCCUUGGAUUCUCCUUGCUUAUGUUUGUUUUUCUCUGUGCAAGGGUAGUUCCGUGAUCAUCUUCAGCAAAAACAUCCUUUGUUGGUGAUGAAGAAUCCAUCUGCAUAAACAUUAGAGAACUUCUUUCAGCUUUCUAAGAACACCCAAAACCCAAAUCCAGACAUGAAAGAUAAAACUCAAAUCGUGAAAUUAAAGAGAAACAAUCAAGACAGAAGAAUCAGAGAAGGAACACUUACCUGCGAAUCAACUAUCAACGACGAUAAAGGAGGAGAAUGGUGGUGGUGAUCGUGAAAUUGAACUAUGGUUUCAAGUUUUUCCAAUUUGGGAUUUAAUAUAAGGGGGGGGAAAAUAGAGCGAAGAAAUUGAAUGUUUUUUUUUUCUACAUAUAUGUUUCGUAUAUGAUUUUCAUUUUUCAGGGGUAGGUUUAUGCAAUUAAGGUGUUGAUUAGUUCACCCUCCACAAACGCCACGCUGCGUUUGCGGUUGGCAGCGGUUAGUUGCGUUUUAUAACAGUCAUACAAAUUGCUGCAAACCGCUCCGUAUCGUUUUAUACCGCUGAAAUUCAAAGCUGCUUCCCGCCAGCGUUUUCGGUUGCGAACGGUAGCGGUUGGAUAAAAAAAAUCAUGUUAGAAAAAAAAAAUAGAAGAUCACGUUAAAAACAAUUAUAAAACCCUAACUCUACUAAUCUUUAAUUACUAAACAUAAUUUGGGGUAAUAUUUCCAACAAUUGAAAUAAAAUAUAUUAUUAUAAAAUUUCUUAGUUUUUAAAAUAAUUAAAUAGUAUUUAUUUAUAUUUUUUUAUUAUUUAUUUUGAAUUAGUGAUUUUGCUAUUAAGCAUGAGAAUAUAGUUUUUAUGUUUUUCUUAUCAUUAGUUUUGAUGUUUAUUUUGGUAAUUUUAUGUUUAACCGCUAAAACAUUUGCUGGUUCGCCAGUUAAAAAUAUUCCGCAAACGGAUCCGUUUAAAAAAAUUUAACCAGUCGUGGACACCGCUUAACAACGCUCAAAACCACAAUCUCCCGCUUCCGCAAACUCCCGCACUCGCAACCGCAACCCUGCGUUUAAACCAGUCAAGCCCUAAUUCAAAGAGUUUUUUUGUUAUUUGCGCGUUUAUAUUUCGGUUCUCGGGUUUACCCUAACCCAAACCAAGAACCAAAUCAAAUAAAUCUUAGAACCAUUCGAUUUUUGCAUUCAACCCAAAUCAACCCACGAACCUGUUUUUUCCGGGUCGGUUUGGUUCGGGUCGAGCGGGUUCGAUUUUUAAGCCCAGACUGAGUACCAAAUGCAUAAACAUCAGUUCUUCUAGAAGUUCCAUUAUUGUUAGCUCAGGUGUGAUGCUGCUAAGGUUAGGGGGUCGUAGAUGAAGUUUUAAAUUUAUAAAACCCUAGUUUCUGCAAGUACACAGUCGUGCGAUGUAGUAGUAGUACUUAGGGUGUUGAUCCACAUGAAGGUUGUCUAAUCUGCAAAAACUUCAAACUGGAAUAAGUAAGCGAUUUAAUAAACUCAUGAGGUUUUUGUGUGGUUUUUGUUUUUUUACGGGAAAAGAAAAAAAUAAAUAAAACUAAAGAAAAUCUUAAACUAAUCGAUAUAGGCCUAAUAAUGAAAUGCAUGUUGAGCUGUGAUAACACCGUAUUUUGACCACUUUUAUGGAUCGUUUAGAAUACUUUUUCUAUGUUUUCUAUUGCUUUCAAGUACUUUUAUCACGUUUUUCUAGUAUUUGUAGUUCCAAGACUCUUUUCAGGAAACUUAGGGAAAAACUUAACAAAAUGGAUAGAAGACCAGAUUUUUAGCUCAGAGUCAAACCGUCAGAAGUUCUGCACCGAUUGAAGGCCUUCUCACAGUCUGAUCCAGCUCAAAUUUGGAGAUCUCAAAGAUGGAAAUAUCAGCUUUCCAGCACACUUUACAGCUUGGCAAUCCAACGGUUCAAUCAAAAGAUACGCGAAGAGCAAGAUGUCCCGUAAACCAGCUGGCGAGCAUUUCCACCCGCGGCCAACAGGCCAUUCCCUGCGGUCACAAGCAUCCCGACCGCUGCCAGCCAUCCAUUCCCCGCGGUCACACACAUCCCGACCGCGGCCAGCUAACUCCAAGUUUGAAGGCCCAUUUCUGAAGACCGUAUCAUUUUCUCAGCCUCAAUUCCGGAACCCUAAACACCAGAGAGUAUUGGAGACUAUAAAUACAUAUCAUUUAGGUCGUUUUUAAAAGAGAAGAGGAGAGACGAAAUACUUUAGAGAAAUUUUACUUCAAGCUUUAUUUUUAGGUUUUAGGGAGAGAGAGAUUUGUCUCUUGAACCCUUGUUCUUUCUUUUUCAAUUUUGGUUUUUGUUCUACUUUUUAAUACUAUGUUUUUGAUUUCGUUCAUUAUGUCUGAGUAGUUUUAUUGUUGGGUCUAAGGGAUUUUUGAUGGGGAUAUAUGUGUUCGAUGAUGAUUCCAUGAGCUAUUGAGCCGAAUCUUAGACCUUUUUCUUCUGAAUUCGUUUUUACUGCAUGAGAGUAGCGUCAUGAACUACAAUCUGAUCCAGAUGCUUGGUGACACGAAAGUGUUCAUCCGAUGUCAGAUCUAGUUUGGGAGAGCAAAACAAACAUAGGAGUGGAAACCUACCUAUGGGCGAUUUGUGAAUGCUGAUGAGUCUUAAACAUAAUGCAUCUAUUGUCUUCCAGGGCCAGAGUGGAAACCUACUGGUCAGGGUUGAGAGAGAUAGUUGUCUAUGAUCACGACAGUGGUGUAUUCAUACGUCCGUGACUCCAGUUCGAAAAGUUUAAGCUAAGAUCUUAUCAAAUUUACUCUCUCUAGCAAUGUUUUGAAUCGUUCAUACCCCUGAGAAAACUUCCCUGAACCCCAGCGCCUUCUCUCCUAUAGAUUUAUACCGAUUUUCAUUCAAGCUUUAGUCUAGUAUCUUUACUCUUUCAAUCGAUUUUCAUUUAAGCAAUUAGGUUUAGCCGUUUUCGUUAAGUUUAGUUAUUAGGUCAUUUUAAUUUCCGUAUUUUCCCUUUAAGAUUAGUUUUUACGUUUUAAACACACCACCAAAACCCUCACAAAAAUCACCUGGUUCUAGACUUCUUUACUUUAUAUUUCUUUCAAAGGCUUUUGCAGGAAAGAUCCUCAUUCCUUGUGGAUUCGAUCCCUAAGUACUACAAUCGAUCAGCUGUGCACUUGCGGCUAUUGAUUUCAUUUAGGGUAAAACUUGACACCCUCACGCAGACACCACAUCAAAUUUUUGGCACCGUUUUCGGGGAAGGCACGCGUUUUCUUUUCCGCAAAACCCUAAGAAAGGUUGGUAAAUCGACUCUAGAACCCCUUUUUCUGCAUAUUUCCAUUUUUUCGGUUAUUUUGUUUCCAUUCCAGAAGCAAUGGAUCCUAUAAAUCCUAGACCACCUAUGUAUCGCCUACCUCACUAGGUUCUCCAGCAAGAUGAGAAUGUCCAGCUCAGUAACCGAUUGAGUCAGCUUGAGGGCGUAAUCAAGCAGUUCAUAGAAGCUCAAUCAACGGCUACAACCGUUCUAAACGAAAGGAUUGACGGGAUAUCGAAACUUUUCAAUGAGAAGAUCGAUAACCUAGCUUCACAAGUCAAAUCAAUAGAAGAACGAGCAACCAAGGACGCAGCUAUGAUCGCUAACAGGUUCGACAGCAUGGAAGAAGAGCAGGCGACGCACACCUACGAGCUUCGCAACACUAAAAACAAAGUGAUGGACCUGGAUUUUCAAACUUGAUGAUGUGGACAAAGCCCUCAACGAAGCUAAGAACGAGUCUUAUGACUUCACAGUCGAAGUUUUAGAGAAGGUUUACAAAUUCAUUGACAAAACCGAAGAGCUUGACUCAACCAUGGACAAAGUAGUCUAUGCUCUUGAUGAAGUUGAAGAAAAGGUUGAGGAGAUCAUACAAGGACUUGGAGAACAGAUUCCAGCAGCCAAAACUAAAUACUCAAGUCCAGGGAGGAAAUACACCAAGCCAGAAGACCCAGAAGAUCAUUCAGGAAGCAAAGGAACAAGAAACAGUAGACUAUCAACUCGGAGACACUUUCCCGCGGUCGCGUGGCCUGCGACCGCAGCCAAGAAGCUUUCUCCCGCGGUCGUGCUCGACCUACCUGCAGCCCAUGGACGUUUUCCCGCGGUCGCGUCUCCUGUAGUCAAGGCCAACCGAAAAAACGUUCCAAAACAGCUCCGUUCAGUUCAUACAAGCAGUUGUGCGUCUGAUACACCUCCUGGAAUGACUAAACCCCUCCAUCAACAACUAGUUUACUCAAUCAGCACCCAAGGAUCUGAAGAUGAAGACAAGCCAUGGGCCUGCAACAUGGCCUUGUCUUGCGAAGAUGAGUAUGAAGAACAAUACUCUGAAGAUGAAGAGUAUUGGUUGUUUGUAGAAGAUCCAAACGCAAGAUAUUCCUCAGAAGACAGUUCAGGAGAAAUUCAAUGGAUCACCAACAACAUCAGUAGGGAGAAGCUCAUAGAGUUCAACAAUAUGGUCAGGUCAUUCCCUGCUCACCUAAGCUUCGAUGAAAUUUGGAAGCUUGGUCGUUUGCAAGUCUUUUUCAGGAUAUACAUAGAUACUUUAUGCGAGUCUAAAGAGGAUAUACAUAGAUACUUUAUGUGAGCUCGAUACAUGACAUCACCUGAAGCAGCUGUCUAUGAAAUCCACCUUCAAAAACCUGAAGAAUGUAGCCACUACACCAACAAAAUCAGCAAGGAGAAGCUCGAUGAGUUCAAUGAUGUAGUUCGAAAUCUGCCUGAAGGAAUCACCUUUGCCAGAGCUUGCAAGGACUUCAUGAUAGGCCACUACUUCUGUGAGAGCAAGGAAUCAAUCCCUGAAAUAGAAGACUUGUUCAAUCAUGCCAGAAGAGGUAAACCUGUUCGAACACUUCACAAAUUCAAAGGUGCAGGUCAGUUUUUCAUCUCUUGUUCUAUUAGAGGAUAAAUGUUUAAAAACGUGCUUUGUGAUUCUGGAGCUUGUCUUAACAUGAUGUCCAAGGAAAUUGCUGUGAGACUUGGUAUUAAACACCUGCGCAGGACUAGAGCCAAGAUUAGUCUAGCUGAUGAUUCCAAUGCAACGUCUCAAAGAAUAGGUCAUGACAUUCCUUUGAGAAUAAGAGAUUGCAUCGUGCCUGUCGACUUCUACAUUGUCGAAACGAGAGACGCAACACAUCCAGUGAUUCUCGGAUGGUCUUUUCUAGCAACUUCCGGAGCUAUAAUGGACUGGCAAAACCAGAGGAUUUCAUUUGCUAAUAUCGACAAAGAUGUCUUCACAGAAGCUGUCCCGUACAACAGCAAAGCAGGAAAAUGUUCUGCAACAGAAGAGUUUGAAGAAGAACUUUGGAGUGACGAAGAACCUGCUAGGCAAAGCAAGGAGAUGUCGAAAAAGAAUUGUCUCAGGACAAAAUCUUCUUCAUUGGAUUAAGCCACGUCCAACACCAAAAGUCGAGCUAAACGACUUAAAAUAAAAGCGCUUAAUGGGAGGCAACCCAUUUAGGUAUUCUUUUCUUUAGGAUUUUUCUUUCUUUUUCUAUUGAUCUUUUUCUUUUUCUUAGUUUCAGGUGUUUCGUAUAAAACAAAAAAAAACCAAAAAAAUAAAAAAAAACCAAAAAGACCAAAAAGAAGGUUGGUCCCUGACUGUUCGGUCCAGCAGGAACCAUGGAGAAGCAGGAAACAGGCUGCGAUAUAAGCCCCCGCGGUCGCAGGUGUUCUGACUGUGGGAAACACCUCUUCGACCGUGGCCGCGUCUUCCUGACCGCGGCCGGACACCACUUUACCGCGGUCGCGUGACCUCUGACCACGGCAAAUGGUCGUUGAGAUGAUACCCGACCCAAAAAAAACCCACUACACCUCAUUCCUACCACCUCAUUCACCACCUAUCACCUUCCCAAACCUCUUCGAAUGAAUCCGGUCUACCUCCACCAGCAUCCCAGAUCCAGGUAAGUUCUCUUUGGCUUUACCAAUUCGAUUAUCUAUGCAUUUUUCUCAUCCAAUCUCGACUUGUUUCACACUGAGGACAGUGUGAUUUAAGUCUGGAUGAGUCUUGCAUUAUCUAAACUUUUUGCAUUUUCCUUAAAGUUUUUCAAAAUCUGUUUUCAAAAACAAAAUAUGUUUUGAAGGGAAUGGUGAACAUAAAUCAGUGAUAGUUGACUGUGUGCUUUUAGACUGCUCCUAGUGACAUGCUCAUUCAUGAUUUAGGACUAGACUAGGCGGUAGCUAAGCACAUUUGAAACGAAGUAUCCCAGAGGAAUUUGAAUGAUUCGAUUUAGAUGAAGGAAUACACUAGCUCUGUUUUAUUUGGAGUUAAUUUGGACUUAAUUUUCUCAUUGAAGCAUUAGACCAGGGAAACGAAUCAUACAUUCAGGACUCCUUUAUCCUUUUUACCACUCUAUGUUGAUCCUGAAUGGCUAGUUCAUAUUUAGCUAGUCCCCCACCUUAACCAAUCCUCUUUCAAACCACAUACACUCUUGUUUUCUAUUGUCUUAUAUGCAGAUAUGUGUAUAAACGUUGGAUAGAAAGAGGAACGACGCAGUUUUUAGUCACCAAAGACAGAGACCUGCGAUUUGCCGGAAAAGUUCCUAGAAGGAUUCAACACAAGAAGAAGCUCAGUUUGCCUUCGAAAAAUCUCAAAUUUUGGUACAAUCUCGUCCUCUAAUCUCUCUUUCUUUAAAAGGCAUUUCCUUUCUGAAUGAAAAAAAAAUCCGAAAAUAGGAAAAAAAGGAAAUAAAAGCCUUAGAUAGUCUAGAGAGGUCGAAUUUUAAGUCUCAAGGCAACUGGAUUUCGAUUUUAUGGAGUUUUGGAGAUCAUUUUCUGAUUCCCAGAAAGAAUUUAAGUCUGGGGGAAUAACUGUUUACAACAAAGGAGGAAGGAUUAUGCAACAACACUGGACAAGAAGAAGUGACGUCACUACAAGAAAAAUGUACAUUGUUAGCUCACGAUUAGCGCUAUCAUAUCGAUUUGAUAGCGUUUUCAUGAACGCUGUGAUUUCCGGAGCUAUAAUAGGGUGACCCUUAUACGAUAGUGUUUUCGGAUUGUGCUGUAAUAUAUACUUCUAUUAUAUCGUUGAAAUUGUAUUGUUAUUUACGAUAUAGUAACUCAUUUUAAACGCUGUUCUAUGUAGUAUAGUAGCACUAUUUGCAUACUAUAAUAUGGAUUUUUGUCGCACGGUUUUGUUGCUAUAGACUAAUCUCUUGUAGCUCUUUUUUUGGCUACAGUAUAACGUGUUGUAGCUCUUUUUCUGGGCUAUAGUAUACUGUUUUAUAACAUUUUUUCCAGGCUAUUGUUUAAUGUGUUCUAGUUUUUUUUUUGGUCACGACCUGUAGUUUUGCAAAAUUAUUUUCAAACCGAGAGAAACCUGCUUUCCAAAACUAUAUGAAAUGAAACCAGCGUUUGCAUUAAAAACACUCUUAUUUUUAUUAAACAUCCAAACAUGUCUUACACAAAACAUCACAAGGACAAACAUCAUACUAAAAACAAGUCUUACAAAACAUUAAGUCUUAAACAUCAUACCAAAUGUCUUACAAAACGUGGUCAUGGCUGCUUGAAGUGCUGAAGCAAUUCUUUGCGUGAGAAGAGCUUGCCUAGCCUGGGAGAGAAUCAAUGCCAUAAGUUGCAUUGUUCCAAGCAACAUACACACAUAGUAACUGCAACAAACCAAAACCAUAUUGAUGUAUUGGGAAUCUGUGAUUACGUAAUUCUCCAAAGUCAUCAAGCAAAGGCAUAAUUUCAGAAUUGCACCAAAUCCAACUGAACAAAUUACCUCAAGAAGAUGUGAUCAUCUUGCAACCGGUUUUUGCAGCAGUUGUUGCCCUCUUCUGUUUUUUUUCCCAAUAUAAAAAUCCACCAGGUUUGAUCUUGUAUCCAAAACACGUUCCAAUUGUUCUAGAGAAAAGCUUAUUGUAACCAAAACCUGCUUUUGAUGAACUGUGCAAAUAAUAAUCGACCUAAGAGUGUUAAACACAGUAUUAUUCAUGUAAAGGACCAAGAAAUCAAACCUGUAAUGAUGAGAUGUAACUGAAACUGAUUCAAGUCUCUCGUUUUGCUUAAUGUGGUCUAAGUAUUGCAACCAUUCUUCUUUUCUGGAAAAAAAUUGAGAAAAUUAAAAAACUCUCAAGAACAGAGAGAAGGAAUAAGAACUAAAACCAAAAGCUAAUGAGAUUAAGGAGAAGAAGAAACGUCAACUCUUUGCAGUCUCAAAAGCAUCUUCACCAGAUCACCCAAUCCAAUACACAAGCAAAAUCAGAAUCGAACUGAACACAUAAGCAGACCGAGAGAGUGCAGACCGAGAGAGCUUAUGGAAACCAAGUAAUAAGCAUCCACGCUUCUGAAAACAAACAAACAAAAUGCAACUCUUUGAAAAAAUCAAAACUUACUUCAUUUAUACAAGUGAACAAAUCAGAAAACUCCCUAUUAGCGGAGGCCUUAUAUACAAAGCUCCUUUACUCAGAGGAGGAACCUAAAACACCAAAAAAAAACCAUAAAACCUUUAGGAGCUUCUAGAGAUGAGAGCAAACUAUGAUAAAGAAUCAUAUCAAAGCUUGCACAACCAUACAAAGCAAAUUAACAUUGAUUUCGUGAAGAUCAAAACAAAAAUUCACAAGUUUUAUAAGUGAUUAUAAGAAUUAAGAGAACAAUAUACAUGUUAGAAGAAUAGAAGCUGACCAUGGACUAGUCAUCAAACUAGCAUUCAUAAGUGAUAAACCAAUGAGAAAGGUAAUUGACUUAUAAACCUUAGCAGAUGAGACACAUGUAAACUCCGGAACUGAGAUGUUCUUGUGCUCAUGAGUUUGGGCAUAACUGCAAAUAACAAUAGUUUGGCAGGAAGCAUGAGAAGCCAUAAAUCAUAACAAACCCAAAGAAGAAACAUACUUCCUAUUAUUCCAAAAUGACCACAAAUCGAUGAUCAUUCUAAACAUCAUCAAAUUGAAUUCCUACAGAGAAAAGUUAUGAAAGAACUGACCAUCUCCAGGGGAGAGCCCAGAACGGUUGCGUUAAUCCAUCUAGAAAACAAAAGAAAAUCAGCGAGAGCAAAGAAGUAUGUGUGUAAGAGGAACUCUUAACUAAAGAUCAUAAUAUAGACACAUGUGAUACUAUCUAUAACAUAGACAUUUAAACAUAAAGAAACAAUUAUCAGGGAUCAUCGUUACAUCUAAUAUGUCAUUAGAGAAUUGUCAUUUCAUAUAGUUUAAUGGCAGAAAGAAACUAAUAUUAGAGAUCAUGGUUGUUUUUUGACGGAAAAAAAGAUCAUGGUUCUUACUCUUUAUUGGAAACACUUCAAAUAUGAUAAUCGAAGCAACAUUCAAGUAAAACCAUAAAUUGAUGCAAGGAUAUUCUUUGCAAUAAUGGAGUCCGACAUUUUAUGGAACCUGUUUUGCUGAAAAACACAAAAGACCAGAUUAACAGAAUCUACUUGUUUGAAGUUGCAAUUCACAGGCCUAAUGUGAAAAAAAAUAAAUAUAUAUCUGUAAGAAAACCCACCAUUUUCUGCAGAAGAUUUUGCACCUGCGGACAAGAGUUGAAGGAUUCAGUGAAAAAGUGAUAUUGGCUCAAAGUCAGAAGCAUACCCACGAAAAUAGAUGCUCAGAACUAAGGAAAACAAAAAAAAAACAAAAACAAAAAUCAGAACUAACCAAAAUCCAUCUAAUCCUUUCCCUAGAAACCCAAGGUCUAAAAAUACCAAAGUACGAGGAUUUGUGGUCUUAUAGCGGCAAGAGAGAGCGGUGGUGUGAAGCAGCGAGAGAGAAACAGAGGCGGCUAGAGAGUGAGUCAAAGAGAGAUAGUGAGCAGAGAGAGGGAUUCAGCGAUAGAAAUAGAGUCGCGACGAGACCAAAAUCUUCAUUAUCAGUAAUUUGAAAACCCAGAAUUUUGAAGGUAUUCUUAGAUCCAGCAGAGACGCUCAGGGAAAGCCUAGAUCUUCUGAUGCUCUUGUCGGAGAAGCUGAGGGGGAGGCAUUUUUAGAGAAGGAGCAGAGGUUGUUGAGAGAUAUGGAAGGGAGGAGCAAGGAAGAGGCGGUGGUGGCCACAGCUGUGGCAGAGGAGCAGUGCAGCAAGUCGCAACCUUUAAGCAGAGUUAACGAAGAUGAGUGUAGAUGGAGGACGUCGAGAGUACGAUACCGAUUCUGGAUCUAGAGAGUCUUAGGAAAUUUUGAGAGAGGCUAGGAAGAAAAAUAUAGAGAGAAACUGACAAAAGCAUAAGAGUUUUUGGAAAAAAAUUAGGUUUAGCGUUAGAAAAUUGGUUAAAUUGGAAGAAAAGGGGGCAAAACCAAAAUAUUUUGGUACCAAAAAUGAUUUUUCGGCUAAGUGUUGGCGCUCGAUAAGUGUAAUAAGGCUCACCAAGUGAUUUUUAACUUCCCGCUAUACAUAUUUUUGUGUUUAGCAUUUCUAAAAUGCUAUCAAAUAGUAAUCCACUUCAACAUACCAUCUUUAAUAACAGUUAUGAAAACUGAGCUAUUAUAAUCUGCUAUCAAUAAACCUUUUUCUUGUAGUGGACUGAAAAUUGCGGUAAUCAACAGGUCUUUAUCUCUCUUGCGGUUUUGCAUAUUAUCUUGCAUCCUCCAGAUUCAUCAGGUAACCCGAAACACUUUAACUUCACCACUUAAACAGCCCUUUAAUGCCAAACGCCGUCUAUCCUAGAUGAUGUCUUAAUGAAUGUAGAGAUCUAGUUGACUGGAGUAAGAUUUAGAUUUUUUAAGUUUUGCAUGACGGAAAAAGUGGACUAGUAUCUUUUGUGUAUUGGUGAGAAUUUUCUAGACUAAGUUGUGGAUUGAUGCACAAUCUUUGGUUUUAGUUUAGGAGUUCAUGUCUCUGAGAUUUGUGUAUUCCCUAUUUUUGUUUUCACUUAACCAGUUUAGACUUUUGCUUUGUUUGAGGACAAACAAAUGUUUAAGUCUGGGGGAGGUGAUUACACCGUAUUUUGACCACUUUUAUGGAUCGUUUUGAAAUACGUUUUCUAUGUUUUCUAUUGCAUUCAAGUACUUUUAUCACGUUUUUCUAAUAUUUGUAGUUCCAAGACUCUUUUCAGGAAACUUAGGGAAAAACUUAACAAAAUGGAUAGAAUACCAGAUUUUUAGCUCAGAGUCAAACCGUCAGAAGUUUACCCCUGAUUGAAGGCCUUCUCACUGUCUGAUCCAGUUCAAAUUUGGAGAUCUCAAAGAUGGAAGUAUCAGCUUUCCAGCACACUUUACAGCUUGGCAAUCCAACGGUUCAAUCAAAAGAUACGCGAAGAGUAAGAUGUCCCGUAAACCAGCCGGCGAGCAUUUCCAUCCGCGGCCAACAGGCCAUUCCCCGCGGUCACAAGCAUCCCGACCGCGGCUAGCCAUCCAUUCCCCGCGGUCCCGCACAUCCCGACCGCGGCCAGCUAACUCCAAGUUUGAAGGCCUAUUUCUGAAGCCCGUAUCAUUUUCUCAGCCUCAAUUCCGGAACCCUAGACACCAUAGAGUAUUGGAGACUAUAAAUAUAUAUCAUUUAGGUCGUUUUUUAAAAUAGAAGAAGAGAGACAGAAUACUUUACAGAAAUUUUACUUUAAGAUUUGUUUUUAGGUUUUAGGGCGAGAGAGAUUUGUCUCUUGAAUCCUUGUUCUUUCUUUUUCAAUUUUGGUUUCUGUUCUACUUUUUAAUACUAUGUUUUUGAUUUUGUUCAUAUGUCUGAGUAGUUUUAUUGUUGGGUCUAAGAAAUUUUCGAUGGGGAUAUAUGUGUUCAAUGAGGAUUCCAUGAGCUAUUGAGCCGAAUCUUAGAACUUUUUCUUCUGAAUUCGUUUUUACUGCAUGAGAGUAGAGUCAUGAACUACAAUCUGAUCCAGAUGUUUGGUGACAUGUAAGUGUUUAUCUGGUGUCAGAUCUAGUUUGGGAGAGCAAAACAAACAUAGGAGUGUAAACCUACCUAUGGGCGAUUUGUGAAUGCUGACGAGUCUUAAACAUAAUGCAUCUAUUCUCUUCCAGGGCCAGAGUGGAAACCUACUGGUCAGGGUUGAGAGAGAUAGUUGUCUAUGAUCACAACAGUGGCGUAUUCAUACGUCCGUAACUCCAGUUCGAAAAGUUUAAGCUAAAUCUUAUCAAAUUUACUCUCUCUAGCAAUGUUUUGAAUCGUUCAUACCCCUGAGAAAACUUCCCUGAACCCCCAGCGCCUUCUUUCCUAUAGAUUUACACCGAUUUCAUUCAAGCUUUAGUCUAGUAUCUUUACUCUUUCAAUCAAUUUUCAUUUAAGCAAUUAGGUUUAGUUGUUUUUUGCGUUUUUAGCCGUUUUUGUUAAGUUUAGUUAUUAGGUCAUUUUAGUUUCCGUAUUUUCCCUUUAAGAUUAGUUUUUACGUUUUAAACACACCACCAAAACCCUCACAAAAAUUACCUGUUUCUAGACUUCCUUACUUUAUAUUUCUUUCAAAGGCUUUUGCAGGAAAGAUCCUCAUUCCCUGUGGAUUCGAUCCCUAAGUACUACAAUCGAUCAGCUGUGCAUUUGCGGCUAUUGAUUUCAUUUAGGGUAAAACUUGACACCCUCACGCAGACACCACAUUAGGCUGCUAAGGAUAUCUAAGAGCAUCAUUAUCGGGGUGGCUUAUUUGGGUUUCUUAAGCCUUUUUGGUUUUAAAAAUAUGUUUUAUGGCCCAAAAUUAGAAAAACCGAUUCUUAUUUGGGGCCUGAAGAAUCGUUUAUUCCUGGACAGGUAUCUGCUGCUGAUUGGGUAAAAAAACGGGGACUUCUUCUUUCUCUCUGCAUCGGUGUUUCUUCGACCAUUCACAUAUCCAAACCGAGAAAUUGUUCCAGAAAAAUCCUCUCCACCAAAACGAAGUCUCGUCUCUUCCGUCCCGAUAUCGUUGCCGAUGGUCGUCUCCUCCGCUCCGUGACGUCGGUGAAUCGUCGGUCCUUCUUUGCCAAAUCGACAGAUCAGAGGUUUCUGCAUGUCCACCGAAUUCCCAGAUAAGUUCUCAUCUAAUACUUUUUUUUAGAUUAUGCGUCGGUUUCUUCCCUUGAAUUGCUCAAUCAGAGCAUCUGAAAUAGGUUAUGGAUGGGGGAUUUAGUUUGUCAUCGGUUUCAAUUUGUUUUGUGUUCUAUAUCUGCAUGUCAACUUGUUUAGGCUUGAUGAUGUGUUGAUGUUAUUUGACUGAUGUGUUGAUGUUAUUUGAAUGAUGUGUUGAUGUUAUUUGAAUGAUUCAGUGGUUGAUAUUAGGAAUCGAUCUUCGCCAUACACAAUUGUUAGGAGUUUUAUUUAUGGUUUCACACAUGUUCAAUGGUUUUUUGUUUGAUGGUUUUAAAGUUUUGAAAUGCAAAGGUUGAUAACACUUUGUAUUUUUUUAUGCAGAACUAGCUAUUGAGGAAGGUGAACCGCAGGCUUUAGUCUGUUCACACCCUUCUCACCAUAAAUGUUCAAAUGCCUAGUGAUGAAGGUAUGUAUUCAAAUCACAUCUUCUCUCAUUAAUGCCUAGUUAGUUUUAGAAAAUAGUUGGUUAGAGAUGGUGUUUAGGGUAAUAAAUGGUUAAUUGCUUUUAGUUGGUGUGAAGUUGGAUGUAAGCUUGGUAUAGAGUUAGAUAAAUGUCUACUCAAUGAUCUUCAAUGAUCUUUUGGUUCACGUAGAUAGAUAGAAAAAAAUAGUUUGCUUGAGUGCUCUUUGCUUUUUUUCUUCAAUGCAUCUGCUUCAAUGCUUCAUUUACUUCUCUUCAAUGCAUCUUAAUGCUUAUCUUUCUUCUUUGCCUAUUAUAAAUGGAGAAGCCUCUUUUCCUUCUCCUUCUUUGUCUUACAAUAACUCUCUGUUCUUCUUCUCAUUCUCUUUCGUUCUUCUAAGCCUCUGUUCUUCUUACUCUCAUGCUCCUUCUCCUUAUUUGUUUGAUAUUCUCUCAUCUCUUUGCUUCGUCUAUCUCUUUCCAAAUGGAGUAUUCUUCUCAGACUCCUUAUUCACACGCGACGAACUUUGUUGAGCAUCUAAACUCACAGCAAGACAGUGUCUUUUGCGGUUAUCCAACAAGCCUCGGUGAGGAGAUGCCUGUGGUUGCUUCACCUGUCGUGGAAGCCUCGGCUGGACAACAGAAGACCACACGGUAGACUUGGAGCCCUGCAGAUGAUGUUCUGCUGAUAAGCUCGUGGUUAAACACGAAUAAGGACUCCAUCGUGGACAAUGAGCAACAAUCAAGGGACUUUUGGAAAAGAAUUGCUGCGUAUUAUGCGGCCAGUUCCAAGUCUUCAGGCCAUGACCAUAUAGAGGCAACUCAGUGCAAGCAGUGAUGGCAGAAGAUAAAUGAUUUGGUAUGCAAGUUCGUGGGAGCUUAUGAAUCUGCAACAAGGGAGAAGACAUCUGGUCAGAAUAAAGAUGUGGAGCGUGCUUUUGGAGUCUUGCAAGCUCGGUUUACCAUUGUUAAAAAUCAAGCUCUUUUUUGGGAUAAAAAAAUAGGUAAAAUUAUGAGAGCUUGUAUCAUUCUCCACAACAUGAUAGUAGAAGACGAAAGAAAUGGAUACAAUCUAUUAGAUUUGUCAGAUUUCGAACAAGGAGAAGGAGCCGGAAGUGCAAAUGUGGAUGACACGUUUUCAACGGAUAUGCCUACAAACAUUGCCAAUAUAAUGGAUACUUGAAGAAGAAUCCGGGAUCCAGGGGUCCAUGAUCGAUCGAAAGCGGAUUUGAUUGAGAAUAUAUGGCAAAAUUUGGAUGAAAUAAUGUUAUAAUCAAUAAUUAUCUUUGUUAUAUGUAUGAGUGUGUUUAUGUUAAGAAUGUUAUAAUCAAAUAAUUAUCUUUGUUUCAAAUUAUUUUUUUUUUAAUAUUUUUUUUCUUAAAGAAACCCUAUCAAGGUUUUACCAAUGCACCAUUAAAAAUAAUGAGUUUCUUAAUGUGGAUUCUUAUUCCAUAAUUAAUAAUAAAAAUUACAUAAGAACCCUUAAUGGGGUUUUGGCGAUAAUGAUGGUAUAAGGGAUGCUUAAUUCAAACUAGGGUUCUAAACUCAUAGGGGGCGACACAUACUACUCCUAAACACUUUAAUCGAUAUCUAAGUUUCUUCAAAUUAGCCUACAGAUAGAAUUUCCUUUUCUAUUCAUUUAGUAUCUGCAUGGAACUAGAAUAGACACUGAUAUAGCUAAUAUACUCCCGUCAUCUUAGCCAACUAAUUACUUAAACUCGACAAGUAGCUUUCGAUUCUUGCCGAAAAUAAGGUCAUGCAUUAUUUUGAACUGAAUUCAUUCUUGCUCACAUAUUCUCUAUAGGUAGCUUUUCACUCCUACAUCGACUAUGUUCUUCGGAAGCUAUGUACGGCGAUAUGAUACAUCACUCCCACGGUUCUGACCAAGUCUAGGUUCAGAGAUUAGUUCAUAACUGAGAAUACUAGCAAUCCCUAUCGAACAUGUAGACCCUUUGAUGGAUCCUUAAAACCCAACUACUAAACUACUCUAACAUGAUGCAAAAAAAGAAAAACAUAAAUGAAUGCAUAGAUUGAAAUAGAUAGAUAGAUAGAUAGAUAGAUAAAAAUGAGAUAGAUCAAAGGUUCAAGGAAAGAAUCUCUCUCUCCUUCGCCUAAACCUCCUAGAAACAAAUUUUGGUGGCUCAAAAACUCAUUACAAGAGCACACACCAAAAUUGGGAUGCUAAGAAAUGUAUUUAUAGGUCAUAAAGUAUUCUAGGUCAUCUUUUGGACUUCUCUGAAGAGAAUUGGCGAAAUGGGCUUGAUGUUGGGCCUUAGGGCCUGGUCAUGGUCCACCACAGGCGAGAGUCUUCCGGGACGGGUGAAAGUAUGUGAGGCGUGGUCAGAAGGUGUUUUGCCGCAGGUCAGCUGAAGUUCGGGCUGGUUGACAGGAUAUCUUGGUCUUCAUAUAUAUUUUAAUUGAACCGUUGGAUUGUUCUGAUAUAAAUCGCUAUAGAAAGUCAGUUGGAUCCUCUUAAAUAUAUCCAAAAUUGAGCUGGAUUAGACAGUGAGAAAAUCUUCAUUUAAGAUUGAACUUCUGACGGUUUGACUCUAAACUGAAAAUGUAGAUUUUUUUUCUAUUUUACAAUAUUUUUUCUUAAGUAUUCUAAAAAAAAUUUUGAAACUACAAAUAUAAGAGAUCUAUAAUAAAAAUAUUUAAAAAUAAUUAAAACCUUUAAAAAAAUAUAAGAAAUUAAUAGUGAAAUAGGUACAAAAAAGAUGUUAUUAAUGUGCCAUGUAACCCAUAGUUCCUACAGCAGCUGUUGCGGGUAAGCUAUCUCUGUAAUCUUCAAACAGCCAUUCCAAAAUCUCAUAACCUUCCAUGGAAGUCAGAAUCUAACAUGACAUUAGAAGCCUUUAUAUCUCUGUGUAACACAACCUGGUUAGCUUCUGUGUGCAGAUAAUUCAGAGCAGAUGCAAUAUCCUUCAAAACCGCAAACCUUUGCGACCAUGAAAAGAGGCGGGUUUUCUCUGUGAAACAAGUAACGAUCAACACUGCCAUUGGAAAUAUAUUCAGAGACCAGAAGAAGCUCUCCUUUCCUCCUGCAAUAUCCGAGAAGAGGAAUUAAAUUUCUGUGCUUUAAACUUUCCAUAGUCACCACUUCAGCCACAAACUGUUUCAUCCCUUGAUUUGCAUCGUGGCAAACUCCCUUUUACCGAAUAUCUCCAAUGCGAGGCAGGUUUUCUCUGUAGACUUCUCCAAAACCUCCUUUCCCUAAACGACCGUCUUUGUCAAACCCUUUUGUUGUUUUGUACAGAGAUUUAUAAGAAAGCCGAGGUGGACCGUAUUCUUUUUCCCAUGCUUCUCUGACUUCUGCAUACUUGUUUUCUCCUGAACAAGUAAACUCUUACAAGAGCCACCAACGUUGUGAGUGCUAGUAACACGAGUAAAGCGAUAAGCAGCAGAGAAGUUUGCUACUUCUUGGCUCUUGGAUGAGGAAUCUUAGGAAGUUUUGACAAGUCCAGUCUCUGCAACAACACUCUGCUUCUGCUAAAACUCCAUCCUAAGAUAUAUUGGUACCUAACCAACGACUCUGUUGCUGCAGAGAAUCCGAAGAACAGUUUUUGAUCCGAGAAGAUUUCAGUAAGAUUGAUGGGUCUUGACUAAAGAGAAUGGUUCGGCUUCUGGAUUCGUGGAGGAGGCAAUGUGACAUUGAGGAAACCGUCCUCAUAAUCCUCCCAGACCUGUAAAGGGUCUCCACUUAAGAGCUUUAUGCUUUGAUUCUUCCCUUUGGUGUUUAAAAAGUAAGAAUCUGAUCAAGCAGACUCUACAGAGUUCAGGCUGUUUAUGUUUAUACAUACAUGAUUCUUGUCGAUGUCAUCAAACUCUGCGCUUUGAAAAGUAUCGAGCUCAAUAGCUAGAAGCUGAGAGGAUGGAGAUCCAUUUGUUGAGAUGUUGAAAAGUCUCAAGUACAGAGUUGGAUCUGCUUGUGUGAAAUACUGAAAUCUAUGGAAGAAGAUACAACAAAGGCAAUUCCAUGCCCACUAUCAGCUCCGGUUUAGGCACAAGUGCACACACAAAAUGAGCCGAGAAAGAGAAUUUCUUCUCAGAAGGAUUAAACUCGAAUGGCUGCUUGAAGAAUGCAUGACCAUUUGCUGCGUUGAGGCGUCGGUAAGCUGCAAUAAUCCACCUGGAAAGAUGAUUUCUACAGCUCCAUCUAGAUGAAGAUCAGCUUGAGCUUGGCCAAAGCCAUUGUAUAUGAAACCGACUUCUUCUUGUUGACUUAACAAGCAAUUCAGAUGUUUAAAGAAGAACAAUAAGAUCAGAUGCAAUCCUUGAGUAGCCAUUGCUGAUGAAACAGAGAAAGUCUGUUUGAUUUAUUUGUUUCGAUUUCAGAUAAAAACUUCUCAAGACAUGAAUUCAAGGCCAAGUUUCUAAAUUCCAAGUUCAACUUUUUUAGGAAAUGUAUUUGUGAGCAUCUCCUGAGUUUUUUGUUUGCAUCUUCUGAAUUGAAUUUACAAAAUGAAAUGGAUAUUAAAUGUAACCAUGACCGUUACCUUUAACCUUUAAUUUAUGUUGUUGUUCAUACAAUAAUUAAAUUGUCUCUUGUCUGCUUUCUAACAAUGUCUAACUCAAAUGACAUAAUACACACAUGGCUUGCAAAAUGAAGCCAAUAUAAAUGUAGUUUAAACGUGACUGAUACAAUAUAUAUAGACCAAAAUGUAUAAUUUAUAUUCAGGUAUUAAUAAGCCCCAUCACCAAAGCUCUUGAAGUCAACGAUGGUGAAAGCAAGAGAUACACUCAUAAAAGGAAAAUCAGAAAGAAACGACGAAAUUACGAUCAACAGUUUAGGAGAUGAAAUUUCGGAUUGGUUCAAGCCACAACUUUAAAAAGAAACCAAGAAUAAAUUCAUGUAAGCUUACUCAAACCCAUUAAAACAAAAAUCAGUCAGUUUUGUUAUUCUGUAUCAUAACGAGAUCCUCAUUUCGCUUUGUUAGUCAAAUUCUCAACCAAAUUCUUCAAGAAUCACAGUGAACAUGUUGUUCUUGAUGGUGAAGCCACUGCAAUGUUACCAAACCUGGAGAUGCUACAGCAAGAGGCAUGCCUCACCAAUAAAGCUUUGCCUUAAGCCACUAAAUGUAUUUGUAUAAUUAAGGGUCACAUGUGACAUUUCUAUGCAAAUUGUUUGUUUCAAUUAGUAAAGUUAUUCUUCUUAUUCACUUUUAAUUUUUAAACCACUGUAAUCGUAAUUUUUUUUGGAUUAAUCAAGAAAAGAGAAUAUAUGUAGGCAGAGGCGGACCAACUAAGAGAUAUAGUGGUUCAUAUGACACCCCAUAAUAUUGAAAUUUGUUUAUAACAUUUGAAAUUUUCCUUUGACCCUAUAAUUAAAUUAUUUUCCCAGCCACAUAACAAAUUACAACAAUUUGUUUAUUUUGACGCCAUGUAUUAAACUAUUAAGAAUGAUAAUAAGAUUAAUAUUUUUUAGCUAUAUUUUGACACCGGUUAAAUAGAUGCAUACUGAAUUUUCUUGUAUGUUUAUCAAAUUUUGAUUUCUACUAUCUAAAAAAAUCAUAACUAACUAAUACCUAUGUUACACUUUCUUUUUUUAUUUUGUUAAAGAUCUACAUUAUAUCGCUAAAUCUAAAAAAUUACUAUAGUUUAAAAGAAUACAUAUUUUUGUAGUUUUUUUUGUUUUAGUUAUUUUUGUUUAAUAUAUAAUAAAAAGAGAUGAAUCCUUUUAUAAAACAUAUACGUUUCAUAAAAAAUAUAUGUUCUAUAAUAUUUAAACUAUCGUUUCUCAACAAAAAAAAAAUCAUUUUCAAAAUUAGUACACAAACAAUUUUUUUUCUUUAAUUAGUUCUAUCCUUUUAAAUAUUUGAGCUGACUUUAUAACCAGCUCAAAGUACUUUUAUCAUUUUCAUCAAUCGUCUUUGUGACUUCGGUAAAAAUAAUUUAUGGAUUUGCCACUGUAUGUAGGGAUAAAUUAUUUGUUGAAAGCUUACAAAUAGGGACAAAACCGAAUUAGAGACUUAGAGACUUAGUAAUGAGCUGAAAUCACAAAUAAUUUGAACUUGUAUAAAAAAAAAGAAAUCUAAACAAAUCACCGUAAUCUCUCUAACAAAAUCAUCUUUAUAAAGAUUAACAACAUUUUUCAGAAUGAGGGAAGAAAAAAAACGAGAGCAAAAAUGGAAAAGAGAGGCAUCUCUUUCAGAUCAAUUCUCCUCCACUCUCUGUGGACAACUCUCACUGGGAUACUCUUUUUCACUCUAGCCACCACGAAAGACCACAAAUUUGGUUACAUCAAAUUUUUUUCGAUAUCAGGAACAUUACUCAUAACCUUACCUUGGUUAAUCCAAUUACUUAUGGUCACUUCUGCGGUCAUAAUACUAUAUAAGAUCAUAGGUUUCAACCUCAUGUGGAUUAUUUGGUCACCAACAUCGGAAGAGAAUCAUCUCACAAACGUCGUCACCAUUUCUUCUUCAUCAUCUCCUCUUUUGUCUCGCAAGUUCUGAAGAAAGGCGAUACAGAUGAGAUCGAGAUUAGCAUUGUGAUUGGUGCUGAUGGUCCAAAAAGUCCAAAGGAUAGAUCCUAUGCACAUCAUUUGGUGAUUGAAGGAAGAAACAACACCAAACUUCUCAAAAAUGGUUCACCUGUCGCUUAAAUGCAACUAUGUUUUUCUUCUUGUUCUGUUUUUUUUUUGUUCUUUCAUUUCUACUGUUUUCUAGAGACUGUGGUCUGAAACUUGUAGUGCUUACAAGUUUUGUAAUAUUUUCGUUGUAAGUUUCAUUAGUAAUGAAUUUCGAUUGCUAAUUUCUAUACUGCUUCAAUAACAGAUUCACAUUCAAAUCUCUAAGUAGCUUAACCAACACACACACACACACUGAUUACAAGAACUAAAAAAGAUCUAAGUUUUUCACCUUCUAUCUCAGUAUGUAAUUGUGUGAGUAACGAACAUGGAGUUAUGAGGCAAAGGAGGAGACGCUGAUGGUGCUAAAGAACAUCUUGAAGUGAAGGCUGUAUCCAGCAAAACCAGAGUAGAAACCCCAAUCCCUAGAGAAGCUGGUGAGAAAAUGGGCAAUGGGAGACUCUUGUUUAUGUAUUGUACAAUUCCGCCACAAUGUUAGUGCAGAGCAAUCCUAGUUUCAGAGCUGUUGUGAAUCAAACUAGAAGAAAGCAAUAACUUAGAGAGAGAAAUCGCAAAUUGAAGUGAACACCCGUUUAGAGUUUUUUUUUAUUAAUUGUGUGAAUAAAUAAUUACAAACCCUAAGCUUUGUAUUUGUAGCCCCAAAAAUCUGACUCCCAAAUCCAUUUGAUAAAAAAAAAACUAAAUCAAGCCCAAUAAGGAAACUGUAGCAUGAGGGACUUUGCCUCCCCACACCCCCUAAAUAAAUCCGCAUCCGCCUUUGAUCCAAUAAAGCCCAUUAGACCCAGCUAGAGCUCGCCUUGCUCUAACAAGGCAUCUUUAGUUAUCUUUGUCAGUAGAAACAACAAGAACCAUUUCGAUUUCCUCUUCUGAGUAUUCAAGUCCCAUUCUUGUAUCUGUAGCAUCAGCCAGAGAAUCCCUUCUCCAGCAAUCACAAACCCAUUUGAUCAAAUGCCGUUUCUCAGGUGGAGUCUUGAGAUCUAAUGGUCUCCUUUGACAGAUUACUUCAAGCAUGAACGUACCAAAUUCAUAAACAUCAGUUCUUGUAGAAGUUCCCAUUGUUGUUAGCUCAGGUUCCAUGUAACCCAUUGUUCCUACAGCUGCUGUUGCGGGUAAGCUAUCUUCUUACUUUGUCGAGUGGAUCCCAAACAAUGUGAAGUCAACACUCUGUGACAUCCCACCUACUGGUCUGAAGAUGGCUUCCACUUUCAUCAGCAACUCAACAUCGAUCCAAGAGAUGUUUAUGUUGGAACCCAAUAUUAUAAGCAUUUGGACUUGUAAUAUUGAGUUUGUGUGUGAAUAAGAAAUGAAGUUUAAUAAGCAAAUGAGCCUUAUAAAUUCAUUUGAGAUUUGGAUUUGAGCCUAUGGAAACGAAAUGUUCCUAUUGGCUAUAACUAAAAGUGGAAGUGUAGUGGAAGUGUAUUUGUCCCACAUUGCUCACCAAGGAGAAAAAUAUCUAAUAUAUAUAUGGCCUUCUCACAAUAAGGGUCAACAGCAUUGUGGAAGUAAAAGGGCAUUAUGCAAAAAACACCUACGCGCGCCGCCGUCGCCGUCGCCGGUGCCGGUACCGGUACCGGGCUCGGGCUCGUGCUCGUUGCUUGUUACAUUUUUUAGUUGGCUCUUAAAGCUCUUGGGCUCUUGGGCUCUAUAUAGCUGGGUGUGGGUCAUGGGCUUCUUAGUUCCUGCGAAAUAUUUUUUGCAUAUUGAAAGGAUAAAUCUUAGGAAAUAAAAGAUUGCGUCCAGAUAAUAACGGAAGAUUUCCGAAUCCUUUUACUUGCGGAAAAAGGAGAAUAUUUUGUGAAUAUUCCUUUUUCGCCAAAGCUUAUUCCUUGCAGAUCAAGCUGAACCUUCCAGUAUAAAUAGACGCCCUCUUCUCUCAUUUUAAAAAAUCGAACUCUCGAAUGUCCCAACCACACAGCAAAUAAUUCUUUCCAGCAAAUCCCUCUCGUCUUAAUAUCGUAAGUGUCUCGAGAGCUAUAGCGUAGUAUAAUUUCAGUUCGCAGAUUCUAUUACGGAUGUUGCGUAAUAGUCUCAUCACGGUUGUAUCCUGGGAUUCAAAAAUCGCAACAAACCGUCACACAUUACGGGCGAUUUAUUGAGUUAAGGAAAGAGAUCAUAUCUCGACUCCGUGUUUUCGUCUGUUUUCAAUCGGUUUUCUAACUCUCGUUUUAAUCUCUUACCUUAACAUAUCGUUUAUAUUAUUGUUAUUUUUCAUUCGUGAUUUCAAUCGGAUUUUCGCGGUCCUACAAUCUUAACUCAAUAAAUCCGCUUCCUGCUUAUCGCUUGAAUCGGAUUGAAUAUUGCGAAACAGUUUUUAUAAACGGUUUUGAAAACGAGUUUUUUAAAAAUCAAUCUACAAAGUGUCUGCGAAAGUUUCUUAGCUAUUUCGUAGAACUUUUGAUCUGUUAAAGACGAAUCUUCUGAAACGGUUUAUGCGGCAGUCAUAGACAGGUCCGCAAAACGUGUUAGGGUUUAAGAACGUCAUCAAAAGACAAUUCUAAGAACACCUAUUUUCGAGUUCUAAGAAUACCUAUUGGUAAUAUCUGUGGAAACUCAAAGCAAAUCCUUUUUGGAAAACACUGUUCAUAGCGACUUAAACGUCUUAAUCGCUGAUUUGAAUCUUGAUUCUCAAUACUAACUUCGGUUAUCUUCUGUGAACUGAUUCAACUAUGACUAACGGUGAUGUCGACAUGACAACCAAUGGAAGCUCGGGUGAAGUCAGGAUGCCAGCGUCGGUAACCGCAGGACUUCAGCCCGACAAGUUCGAUGGUUCAAACUUCAAGCAGGGGCAAGAAAGGAUGCACUUCUUUCUGUCGUCAAUGCAGCUGAGCAAGUACCUCACAUAGGAUCCUCCAACAGUGCCAGAAGGAAACAAAGAUGUUACGAUUCUGGCUACCGUUGAAGCAUGGAAACACUCAGACUUCCUAUGCAAAGGGCACAUCAAGAAUCGCCUGGUGGACCAGCUGUUUGAUGUGUACAGUGAGGUCAAAACUUCCAAAGAUCUUUGGGAUGCUUUGGAAAAGAAGUACAAGUCGUACAAUGUUGGCUCUGGGAAAUUCGCUACAGCGAAACUCCUCAAGUUUGAGAUGGUGGAUUCUCGUCCCAUCAUGCCACAAGUGCACGAGCUGGAACUAAUCUUUCAAGAGAUUAGGACUGAAGGAAUGAAGCUAUGAGACAUUCACGGUGAACUGCUUCAUUGAGAAGUUACCUCCAAGUUGGGCAGACUUCCAGAACUAUCUUGCUUACAAGCAAAAGGCCCUGUCGCUGGCAAAUCUGAUCUCCAGAUUGCAGAAUGAGUCACUAAAACGUGACAGAGUUGGAAAAGAAGAUGGUCAGAUCAUGACCCAUGAUGCAAACGUGGCUGAGUACAGGAAAAAGGACAGAGGCAAACCAUCCAACAAGGCUGUGCCUAACAAGUUUCCUCCACGAAACAACACUAGCUUCAAGAAGCAAGGUCAAGCACCCAUGAAGAACAAGUUCAAUGGAAAGUGCAACUACUGCAACAAGCUUGGACAUAAGUCUUCAGAGUGUCGCCGAAAGGCUAAGUAUGAGAACAACCAAGCUCACUUGACUGAAGCAGAUCUGUGUGCAAUGGUUACAGAGGCUAACUUGGUGGAAGAGAACCCCAAGGCGUGGUGGUAUGACACAGGUGCUACCACACACAUCUGUAUUGACAGAGAGAUGUUCAGUACCUAUCAGAAGUGCAAGACUGAUGAUCAACUAAAGAUGGGAAACAUCUCCCAAUCCAAGAUUGAAGGUACUGGAAAAGUUGUGUUGAAGAUGACUUCAGGCAUGGAAGUUACUCUCAACAAUGUGAAGCAUGUUCCAGACAUGAGGAAGAACCUGAUCUCUGGUACUCUAAUGAGCAAGCAUGGUUUUGCAAUCAACUUUGAGUCUGACCAGCUGAUACUUAGGAAGAAUGGUGUUUUCAUAGGAAAAGUUUAUGUUAAGUCAGGAUUGAUCAAAAUGUCUGUAAUGACAAUCCUGAAGAAAAACAAAGUUGUACCUGAUUCCAAAGAUUUAAUUAAUAAGAAUUCAGUUGCUUAUGUGGUUGAGUCUUUUAUUAUUUGGCAUGAACGUUUAGGACAUGUUAAUUACAAGUCUAUUCAAAGACUGAUGAAUUUGAACAUGAUUCCAAAGUGCAAAAUUAGCAAAGACAAAUGUGAAAUUUGUGUCCAAGCAAAGCUCACAAAAACACCAUCACCUCAUGUUGAACGAACUACUGAACCUCUUGGAUUAAUCCACACUGAUCUGUGUGAUUUAAAAUAUCUACCAUCAAGAGGUGGUAAAAAGUAUUUUGUGAUUUUCAUUGAUGAUUGUACAAGGUACUGCUACGUGUAUUUGCUGCGCAGUAAAGAUGAAGUCUUGGACAAAUUUAAAGAGUACAAACUCGAAGUUGAAAAGCAACUGGCAAAGACCAUCAAAAUGGUCAGAAGUGAUAAGGGUGGAGAAUAUGAUGGACCUUUCAAUGAGUUUUGCCAGAUAAACGGAAUUAUCCAUCAAACUACAGCCCCCUAUUCACCUGAAUCCAAUGGAGUUGCGGAAAAAAAGAACCGAACUCUGAAGGAGAUGAUGAACGCAAGGUUGCAGGAAUCUGGGACACCCCAGAAUCUGUGGGGGGAAGCACUGCUCACCACAAAUUAUAUCCUCAACAAAAUACCUCAUAAGGUAACUGGCAAAACACCGUAUGAACUUUGGAAAGGUAAUGUACCUUCGUACAAAUACCUGAAAGUGUGGGGGUGCUUAGCAAAAGUCGCAGUGCCACUUCCAAAGAAGGUCACAAUUGGACCUAAGACUGUGGACUGUAUCUUUAUCGGAUAUGCUCACAAUAGUAGUGCUUAUCGAUUUCUGGUACAUAAGUCAGAUGUAUCAGAUGUCCAAGUGAAUACUAUCAUGGAAUCAAUGAAUGCUUCUUUCUUUGAACACAUAUUUCCAUAUAGGGAUAAGCAAACUACUAAACGCACUCGUGAAGAAAGAGAUGUGACUACUUCUGUAAAUGAGAUGGAAGUAGAACAGGUUGAAGAUGAACCUAGACGAAGCAAACGAGCUCGUUAGGAAAAAUCUUUUGGUGAAGAUUUCAUGAUGGUCUUUCUUGUCGAGAAUGAACCGAGAUCUUACACAGAAGCCAUGUCUACACCAGAAGCUCCUUAUUGGAAGGAUGCUGUCAAUAGUGAGAUGAGUUCUAUAAUGCAGAAUCAUACCUAUGAGAUAACUGACUUACCUCAAGGGUUCAAAGCACUAGGGUGUAAAUGGAUCUUCAAGACCAAGCUGAAAGCUGAUGGUUCUAUAGAUAAGUACAAGGCACGCCUUGUGGUGCAAGGAUUCAGACAAAAAGAAGGUCUAGAUUUCUUUGACACCUAUUCUCCAGUUACGAGAAUAACUUCGAUCAGAAUAUUGAUUGGCGUAGCAGCCUUGCGAGGUUUGGAAAUCCAUCAGAUGGAUGUUAAAAAUGCCUUUCUAAAUGGUGAUUUAGGAGAAGAAAUAUACAUGAAACAACCCGAAGGUUUCGAGGUUAAGGGUCAAGAGCACAAAGUGUGUAGACUCGUGAAAUCAUUGUAUGGACUGAAACAAGCUCCAAAACAAUGGCACGAAAAGUUUGACAAUGUGAUGAUGUCAAAUGGUUUCAGCAUUAACGAAUGUGAUAAAUGCAUCUACUACAAAUGUACUCCAAACGGAUACAUCUUACUAUGUCUGUAUGUAGAUGACAUGUUGAUUAUUGGCAGUAACAAAGAUAUCAUUCAACAAACCAAGAACAUGCUCAAUGGAAAAUUUGACAUGAAAGACAUGAGACUUGCAGAUGGCAUUCUUGGGACUAAGAUCAUUCGGACAUCCAAUGGAAUUACUCUGUCUCAAGAUCACUAUGCUGAAAAGUUCCUAGAGAGGUUUAAGACCUACUCAAAUGGAACCACAAAAACUCCAAUGGAUGUGCAAGCUCACCUAACCAAGAACACAGGUGAACCAUUAUCACAGGUGGAGUAUGCACGGGUAAUUGGAAGUCUGAUGUACUUGACCAAUUGUACAAGACCCGAUCUAGCACAUGCGGUAAACGUGUUAAGUCGAUACACAAGUAAUCCAGGUCAUACUCAUUGGAAAGCAAUAACUAGAGUGUUGAAAUAUUUGCGAUACACUAAGAGUUAUGGGCUGCACUUUGGUAAAGAACCAGCAGUGUUAGAAGGGUACAGUGAUGCCAAUUGGAUUUCAGAUUCUAGAAAUUCCAAAUCCACAAGUGGAUAUGUCUUUACACUCGCUUGAGCAGCAGUAUCCUGGAAAUCUUCCAAACAAACACUCCUGGCCCGAUCAACCAUGGAGUCAGAGUUCAUAGCUUUAGACAAAGCAGCAGAAGAAGUAGAGUGGCUUCGGAACUUCCUGGAAGAUAUCCCGAUGUGGGAAAAACCAGUGCCAGCAUUACGUGUACACUGUGAUAGUCAAUCAGCUAUCUCUCGGGCACUGAAUAAUCUGUAUAAUGGCAAGUCUCGUCACAUACGAAGACGACAUAAGACCAUUAGGCAUCUGAUCUCAAGUGGUGUACUCACGGUUGAUUACAUCAAGUCAGCGGAAAUUUAGCGGAUCCGUUCACCAAAAGCUUGCCGCGAGAUCAAAUCAUUAAAUCAUCUAAGGGAAUGGGCUUAUUGCCUAUCACGAAAGAGGAUGUUUGAUGGAAAUCCUACCUACGCGAUUGGAGAUCCCAAGAGGUUGGUUCAAAGGGACAACUAAAUCAAGCAGAAUCUGAGAAAAACAUUGUAAAAUGCUCAAUUUCCAUGAUGAUAAACAGUGCUUCCUGUAAUUAUGUAAGGUUAAGCUUUAUACCUUUUAAUGAGAUAAGACCAUAGCCUUCAUAUACAUGUAUAUAUAGUAUAACAGGAUACUUUCUGUGUAUGUGACAGGUACUUGGCAAUCACCUAGUGAGUGUGAAAUGAGGCCGUUUCUAGGAGAACGAAGACAAGGCUAUACUCUCCAAGUUCACUCAUGAUAAACCAGACACGUUCAAGGCCACAAUGAACACAAUAGAGAACUGAAUGCUACGAGAAGACGAAGCUGGGUUGUAUCUGUUGAUUUGGUUUACAACAAAAUCCGGGCGGUUCAAGACAUCAUGUUCACUUCCUGGAGAGUAAAUCCGACAGAUAUUAACAAUGAGUGGUUCAAAGCUGAAAAACGCUACUUCCUCAGACACAGUUAGUUUUCGCUUAUACUCUCGAAAAGUCCGUCUGUCGAGUCUGUAGUCUAGUUUGAGUCUAGUCUGCAUAGUCUAUCGAGUCUGCAUAUGUAUAGAGUCAUUUCUAUUCAUGUGGGGGAUUGUUGGAACCCAAUAUUAAUAAGCAUUUGGACUUGUAAUAUUGAGUUUGUGUGUGAAUAAAAAAUGAAGUUUAAUAAGCAAAUGAGCCUUAUAAAUUCAUUUGAGAUUUGGGUUUGAGCCUAUGGAAAUGAAAUGUUCCUAUUGGCUAUAACUAAAAGUGGAAGUUUAGUGGAAGUGUAUUUGUCCCACAUUGCUCACUAAGGAGAAAAAUCUCUAGUAUAUAUAUGGCCUUCUCACAAUACGGGUCAACAGCAUUGUGGAAGUAAAAGGACAUUAUGCAAAACACCUACGCGGGCCGCCGCCGUCGCCGUCGCCGGUGCUGGUGCCGGUGCCGGUACCGGUACCGGUACCGGUACCGGGCUCGGGCUCGUGCUCGUUGCUCGUUGCUCGUUGCAUUUUUUAGUUGGCUCUUAGGGCUCUUGCUUGUUGCUUGUUGCAUUUUUUAGUUGGCUCUUAGGGCUCGUGCUCGUUGCUUGUUGCAUUUUUUAGUUGGCUCUUAAAGCUCUUGGGCUCUUGGGCUCUAUAUAGCUGGGUGUGGGUCGUGGGCUUCUUAGUUCCUGCGAAAUAUUUUUUGCAUAUUGAAAGGAUAAAUCUUAGGAAAUAAAAGAUUGCGUCCAGAUAAUAACGGAAGAUUUCCGAAUCCUUUUACUUGCGGAAAAAGGAGAAUAUUUUGUGAAUAUUCCUUUUUCGCCAAAGAUUAUUCUUUGCGGAUCAAGCUGAACCUUCGAGUAUAAAUAGACGCCCUCUUCUCUCAUUCUAAAAAAUCGAACUCUCGAAUGUCCCAAACACACAACAAAUAAUUCUUUCCAGCAAAUCCCUCUCGUCUUAAUAUCGUAAAUGUUUCGAGAGCUAUAGCAUAGUAUAAUUUCAGUUCGCAGAUUCUAUUACGGGUGUUGUGUAAUAGUCUCAUCACGGUUGUAUCCUGGGAUUCAAAAAUCGCAACAAACCGUCACACAUUACGGGCGAUUUAUUGAGUUAAGGAAAGAGAUCAUAUCUCGACUCCGUGUUUUUGUCUGUUUUCAAUCGGUUUUCUAACUCUUGUUUUAAUCUCUUACCUUAACAUAUCGUUUAUAUUAUUGUUAUUUUUUAUUCGUGAUUUCAAUCGGAUUUUCGAGGUCCUACAGUUUAGACGUGUUAGCGAGCAGUUCACAGCUAUGUUCAGGAGGAAGGCUUUCUUGCAUUGGUACACCGUACACAGGUGAAGGUAUGGACGAGAUGGAAUUCACAGAGGCCGAGAGCAACAUGAACAAUCUUGUUUCGGAGUACCAGCAAUACCAAGACGCAACCGCAGAUGAAGAAGGUGAGUACGAGGAUGAGGAAGAAGGAGAAUACCAACAGGAGGAGUAUUGAGAGAGAGUAAGUGUACACCACCUUAAAAAAACCAAUUUAGUCUUUUGCUUUUUUUUUUUUCUUUUUUAAAACAAAGAAACCUCAACUACCAGUUGCAGGUUUUUUUAUGCUUGUAUUAACAACUCUGGAUCUUGUUGACUUAUGGUGUGUUUUGUGUACUUUUGAGUUUUGACCUUAAAAUUGGGUUCGUUCUUCGUAUUUCCCUCUUUAGUUUGAAUCUCAACGUGUGGCUUUAUUUGAUUUUAUUUUUAUUUUUAUUUUUUGAAUUCUGAAGAUAUAUAAGGCAAAAUAGAGUGAUUUACAGGGAAA
rnacentral:lncRNA from 1 species